AACAAUGUGGCUGAGUACGAGGAUCUGGUCAACGGGUUGCGGAUCGCCAUCGAGCUAGGGGUCAGGCGCCUCGACGCCCGCGGCGACUCGCAGCUCGUCAUCGACCAAGUCAUGAAGAACUCCCACUGCCGCGACCCGAAGAUGGAGGCCUACUGCGAUGAGGUUCGGCGCCUGGAAGACAAGUUCUACGGGCUCGAGCUUAACCACAUCGCUCGGCGCUACAACGAGACGGCGGACGAGUUGGCAAAAAUAGCCUCGGGGCGAACGACGGUUCCCCCGGACGUCUUCUCCCAGGAUCUGCAUCAGCCCUCCGUCAAGAUCGACGACACGCCCGAGCCUGAGGCACCCUCGGUCCAGCUCGAGGUACCCUCGGCUCAGCCCGAGGCACCCUCAGCUCGGUCCGAGGCGCCCUCGGUUCAGCCCGAGGUACCCUCGGCCCCCGAGGGCGAGGCACUGCACGUCGAGGAGGAGCAGAGCGGGGCCACGCCUGAUCGAAAUUGGCAGACCCCGUACCUGCAAUAUCUCCGCCAAGGAGAGCUACCCCUCGACCAAGCCGAGGCUUGGCGGGUAGCGCGACGCGCCAAGUCGUUCGUCUUGCUGGGUGAUGAGAAGGAGCUCUACCACCGCAGCCCCUCGGGCAUCCUCCAGCGAUGCAUCUCCAUCGCCGAAGGUCAGGAACUCCUGCAAGAGAUACACUCGGGGGCUUGCGGCCAUCACGCAGCGCCUCGAGCCCUAGUCGGGAAUGCUUUCCGGCAAGGCUUCUACUGGCCAACGGCGGUGGCUGACGCCGCUAGAAUUGUCCGCACCUGCGAAGGGUGCCAAUUCUAUGCGAAGCAGACCCACCUGCCCGCUCAGGCUCUGCAGACGAUACCCAUCACCUGGCCCUUUGCUGUGUGGGGUCUGGACCUCGUCGAUCCCUUGCAGAAGGCGCCCGGGGGCUACACGCACCUGCUGGUCGCCAUCGACAAAUUCUCCAAGUGGAUCGAGGUCCGACCUCUGAACAGCAUCAGGUCCGAGCAGGCGGUGGCGUUCUUCACCAACAUCAUCCAUCGCUUCGGGGUCCCAAACUCCAUCAUCACCGACAACGGUACCCAGUUCACCGGCAGAAAAUUCUUGGACUUCUGCGAGGAUCACCACAUCCGGGUGGACUGGGCCGUUGUGGCUCAUCCCAUGUCGAAUGGGCAAGUAGAGCGUGCCAACGGCAUGAUUCUACAAGGGCUCAAGCCUCGGAUUUACAAUGACCUCAACAAGUUCGGCAAGAGAUGGAUGAAGGAACUCCCCUCGGUGGUCUGGAGCCUGAGGACAACGCCGAGCCGAGCCACGGGUUUCACGCCGUUCUUCCUGGUCUAUGGGGCCGAGGCCAUCUUGCCCACUGACCUGGAAUACGGCUCCCCGAGGACGAGGGCCUACAGCGAUCAAAGCAACCAAGUUAGCCGAGAAGACUCGCUGGACCAGCUGGACGAGGCUCGGGACAAGGCCUUACUACACUCGGCGCGGUACCAGCAGUCCCUGCGACGCUACCACGCCCGAGGGGUCCGGCCCCGAGACCUCCAGGUGGGCGACCUGGUGCUUCGGCUACGGCAAGACGCCCGAGGGAGGCACAAGCUCACGCCCCCCUGGGAGGGGCCAUUCGUCAUCGCCAAAGUUCCGAAGCCCGGAACGUACAAGCUGGCCAACAGCCAAGGCGAGGUCUACGGCAACGCUUGGAACAUCCAACAGCUACGUCGCUUCUACCCUUAAGAUGUUUUCAAGUUGUUCAUAUACCUCGCACCCACGCAAAGUUUAGUCAUCAAGGAAGGGUCGGCCUCGCCUCGGCAAAGCCCGACCCUCCCUCGGGGGCUAAAAGGGGGGAACCCCCUCUGCGUCGAAAUUGUCCUCGAAAAAAGAUCUCUGUUACCAGAAUAUCUUUCGUGCUUUUUGACUACCUCGAAAAGUGGAUCCUGAAAACGACGGAGUACACGUAAGCAGCCAAGGCUGACCGAGCCGAGGGACUCCUACGCCUCCGGGAUACGGAUACCUCACUCAUCACCUUCUGCGAUAAGUAACUCGCGUUCGGAUAAAGUGAUUCCGCGGACCGAACCAGUCUUUACGUUCGGAAGCUCUUCUGCCGAAGCGAUCCUUCGAGCCUUCUCGACUGAGUCAGUGACAGGCCCUCAUGGACGGGCGAAAGUACGCGUAAGCGGCAAGGCCGACUGAGCCGAGGGACUCCCACGCCUCCGGGAUACGGAUACCUCACUCAUCACCUUCCGCGAGAAGCAAUUCUCGCUCGCACAAACAUCCCUGUUACCGACAAAAAAGUCCAGAUACUCGAAAUAAGAGGAAAAGAGACGCAGCUUUACAACGCAGCGAGGGUGUGUGUUCUGGCCUCGGCGGCCGCAGAAGGCACACGCUACAAGACGAUCUGAUCCUGCAGGCUCGGGUCUUCACGCUGGAAGGGGGCUGUAGCACCCUCGGCAUCGACGACACCUUCAGCGAGGUCCGACCCAGCCUCGGACGGUGACGCGGUCCAGGGGCUUCUCCAGGAAUCCGGCCCGAGCAGGCGGCUCGGCCGGUUACCCCUGGGGCCUCGGCCAACCAUCUUCCAAGGGCGCCAGCCCGAUCCGAGGCCUCGGCUGAUCAACUCCGGCGUCGGUCCCGCUGACGGACAACCCGGCUAGGCUCCGGCCAACCAGGUUUUCAUUUUCGAGCCAACUCCGCCUCUGUUCGUGCUGAUAUCGCUACCCCUGGCCUCGGCUCGUCGAAGAGCGGCCAAGGGGUCUCUUUAACUAAGCUAGAGGAGCCUCAGACAACAGGGCCGAUCGAGCCGAGGGACUACUACGCCUCCGGGAUACGGAUACCUCACUCGUCACCUUGACACGGGGCGACUCAUGCUUGGUGAAGCGGUUCAGAUAAUCAACAGGCGAGUCUUAGUGCUCAAAAAUGAGGAAAAAACACGGCUCCGUGCCAAAAUUACAUACAUGUUCAGGCCUCGACAGCCACAAUGAACAAAAAACCCCUGGCAUCCAAAGUGCCAUUACAAAUGGAACUCCGGUUCCCCCUCCGCAGGUACGAACAACCCCACUCCAUGGGGGAAGGCCUGCGGAGCAACAGAAGACUGACGAGCGGCUCGCCGCCGCCCGCUCUGACUACAACGACAACGACCCCCGCUCCGGAUGGUCGAGCUGCAGCGGCGCAGGCCUCAGGGUGGGCGCUGCUGCAAUCUUGCCCUCGCCUACACCGACGCUCGAGGGGCGAGGACAAGUACGAAGAACCGGAGGCCCGAAGCGCGGAUGGUGGCGGUGAUCCCGUCGGUGACGGGGACUUCUCGAGCCGCCUCCGCCUCGGCACCGAUGGCAGGGGCCAUCAGCCCCCCGGCAGAUCCCCACUCAAAUCCUCCCGGGCGAGUGGGGCACCGACCUCCGCGUGAGGGCGCCAUCCCGGAGCAAAGGCAGGACCACCCCAGAACACGAACGCCGCCCUAGCAGCGCGCGACAUCUUGGGUGGUCGUCCCAUGCACACGGCGCGGCAGCCGCCCUCCGGCAGGAGGGGCCGCCGGGAGCCAAGCCGACAAGCCCGACACGCUGGAGGUGACGACGCCCACCGUCGACUAGCCCUGCGUUGUCGAAGUCCGGGCCGCCCGCAGGGCCAGUGAGCGCCCUCUCCCUCGAACGCCGCGGGAGAGGGUAACCCACGAACCCGCGCGGGAGGUAGAGCGCUGGCUCAGCCUGGCCCCCACCCCAGCGAGGAUGAUGAACAUCCUUGAAGCUGAGGGUGGGAACAAGAUCGCAGCCCGGCUUGCUUCUCCCCAUCCAGGAGCUGGAGGUCACCGUCUUGGGUGACCACCAGCGGAGGGGAGCAACCGGGCUGUGUGAUGAAAAUCCUUGAAGCCGAACGAUGGCUGAAAGGUACCAACUCCCACGGAGUUGCGUUCCUCCAAUGAUGAGGCGAAAAGACGGCGGGUAUCCCCCAUCCGGGGGCUUGGAAGGUGGAAAGACGCGAUGCAUAAGGGAGGGAGAAGACAUGGUCGCCUUCCGAAAGGGGUCGCCCUCCUUUUAAAGGCAGCUCUCCCUACGUGCGCCCCCAAACGUCACGGGCUGAGUCUUCUCCAACACGCACCAAGGCCCUCCCCUGCGGCGCGGGGGCUGGGUCCCGCAUGUCAUGCAAACCGGCUCAGAGCAGAAGAAUCCAAACCGCCGCGCGUGGUGCGCACAACCGCCCAACGGUUACAAGCGACCCCCCACUUUUGCCCAGACCAACGGGCGGAAGGGGCGGGCAGCCAUGCAGGCGGCAUGCAACCGCACCAGGUGGACGCGCUUCUCCGACUCCCAACGCGCCAGCAUGGAGGCCCAGGCCCACGCGUCACGCAACCGGCGCGCCGGAUGCUGCAUGCAAGCAACUGCACCGCCACUUGCGCUACCACCGCGCCUCUUCGGUUGCGGAACCAAUGCCGCGACUUGAGGCGACCCAGCGCACGACCCAGCAGCGCCAGCAUGGCGCGACGGUCAAUGCGGCCGAAAGUGGGCCGACAGUAAUGACGGUGGCAGGCGGGCGGGAGCAGUGGUCAUGUCGUCGGCCAGGCUCACGUCCCAUCCGGGGGCAGCAAGAGAACCCCCUCUCACGGCGUGAAGACAGGGCGCCCGUGAUCCGUUCCUCGAACGGCUCGCGCACGCGCAACGGCCGCCCUGCCAACCACUCGCCCCGUCGCAUUAACUCUGCGGCGGGACAGGCGGCGCUUCUGGCGGGAGAAGCGGGCGACGCUUCGCCUUCGCCGUAAUAACCGCGCCAAAAAAGGUACGCCACGUCGUUCGAUUUCGUAUCCUUUUCCUUUUUUUCCUCUUUCUCUAUCUCUUGCAACAGGGACCGGGAAAGGGGGAUACCCCGAAAAGGAUCCUUCCCUGUGAAGGAACCGGGCUCCGAGCCCCCCCCUACUGAUCAGAGGUUCGAAGGCUGGCCCCCCGAGGGGUUCAACAGCCGCCUCAGAUCGCGUGGGCCCUACACCCACUACUGGUCAGAGGUUCGAAGGCCGGCCCCCCGAAGGGCUCCACGGCUGCCUCAGGCUACUCGGGCUCCGCGCCCAUUACUGAUCAGGGGUUCGAAGGCUGGCCCCCGAAGGGUUCACAGUCGCCUUAGACGCCGAGCGAGGGAUGACCAGGGGUACGUUCGAUACAUAGCCGAGGCUCGGGCUACGCUCCCGAGGUACCCUAGGACAUUUCCGAGACCAGCGGGAGCGAUCUUGUAACGGAAUCCCAUCGGAGGGAGGCAUCGAGCCCUCGGACCCCGUCGCCAGGGGACCGGGUCCGACAGAUCACCCGCAGGUACUUUUGGGCGUGCCUCUGGGCCCCUAGCCGACCCCUAACGAACGGGGCACGGACGUCCACUCGGAUUACCCGCUUGCAGCUCACCGGAGACACCAUGUUCGAUGCCCAUCGAGGGUAACAUGGCGCUCUCCCCCCUCCUCCUUGCGGAAAGGCGACGUAGGGGCGUAUGUAAAAAAGCCGAGUCUGUCCCUGAUCGCCCUCUCGCCCUGUGCGGAAGCUCGGGGGCUGCUCUCGCAAACCUGGCUCCGGCCGAACCGUUGACAGCGUCAACAUACCAGCCCGAGAACUUGGGCCCCGACCGUGCACCCGGGCUACGGCCAGUUCGCAUGAGGGAACAACCAGACCAGCCGAAGCAUUGCGCAAGGCAUUAAGACCUCGAAGGAGUGAAACCACUCCUCCGAGGCCUCGGGGGCUACACCCGGCGGGUGCGCUCGCGCGCACCCGCCGGAACAAAAUGCAACCGAGAAAGGCUGGUCCCCUUGCAAAAAAGUGCGACGAAAGCCUCCAAGCAAGUGCUAACACUCCCUUCGAGGCUCGGGGGCUACUGUCGGGGACCAUAAUUAGGGGUACCCUCAAGGCGCCUAAUUCUCAGCUGGUAACCCCCAUCAGCAUAAAGCUGCAGAGGCCUGAUGGGUGCGAUUAAGUCAGGGAUCAGUCCAUACGAGCGACUCGAUCACGCCUCGCCCGAGCCUAGCCUCGGACAAGGGCAGCCGACCCCGAGGGAUUUCCGUCUCGCCCGAGGCCCCCCUCCAACGGCGGACACAUCUCCGGCUCGCCCGAGGCCUUGCCUUCGCUAAGAAGCAACCCUAACUAAAUCGCCGCGCCGACCGACCGAGUCGCAGGAGCAUUUAACGCAAAGGUGGCCUGACACCUUUAUCCUGACGCGCGCCCCCCGGCAGAGCCGAAGUGACCGCCGUCACUUCGCCGCUCCACUGACCGGUUUGACAGAAGGACAGCACCGCCUGCGCCACUCCGACUGCAGUGCCAGUUGACAGAGUGAGACUGACAGGCAGUCAGGUGCUGCCAAAGGCACCAUAGGAAGCUCUGCCCGACCCAGGGCUCGGACUCGGGCUAAGCCCCGGAAGACGGCGAACUCUGCUCCGCCUGACCAAGGGCUCGGACUCGGGCUAAGCCCCGGAAGACGGCGAACUCCGCUCCGCCCGACCCAGGGCUUGGACUCGGGCUAAGCCCCGGAAGACGGCGAACUCCGCUCCGCCCGACCCAGGGCUCGGACUCGGGCUAAGCCCCGGAUGACGGCGAACUCCGCUCCGCCCGACCCAGGGCUCGGACUCGGGCUAAGCCCCGGAAGACGGCGAACUCCGCUCCGCCCGACCCAGGGCUCGGACUCGGGCUAAGCCCCGGAAGACGGCGAACUCCGCCCCGCCUGACCCAGGGCUCGGACUCGGGCUAAGCCCCGGAAGACGGCGAACUCCGCUCCGCCCGACCCAGGGCUCUGACUCGGGCUAAGCCCCGGAAGACGGCGAACUCCGCUCCGCCCGACCCAGGGCUCGGACUCGGGCUCAGCCCCAGAAGACGACGAACUCCGCUUCGCCCGACCCCAGGGCUCGGACUCCGCCUUGGCCUCUGCCGAACGACCUCCGCCUCGCCAGACCCAGGGGCUCGGACUCGGCCUCGGCCAUGGAAGACAGACUCGACCUCGGCUUCGGAGGAGCCUCCACGUCGCCCGACCUAGGGCGCAGGCCAGCCACGUCAACAGGAAGCGCCAUCAUCACCCUACCCCGAGCCGACUCGGGCCGCAGAGAACAAGACCGGUGUCCCAUCUGGCUAGCUCCGCUAGAUAGGCAAUGAUGGCGCCCCGCAAGCCCUGUGACGACGGCGACUCUCAGCUCUCUUACGGGAGCAGGAGGACGUCAGCAAGGACUCAACCGCUCUGACAACUGUCCCUCCGCCAGGCUCCGUUGCUCCUCCGACAGCCACGACAUCACACCAGCUGGGUGCCAAGAUCUCUCCGGCUGCCACAUCGGCAUGUACUUAGGGCGCUAGCUCUCCCCCGCUAGACACGUAGCACUCUGCUACACCCCCAUUGUACACCUGGAUCCUCUCCUUACGCCUAUAAAAGGAAGGACCAGGGCCUUCUUAGAGAAGGUUGGCCGCGCGGGGGCGAGGACGAGACAGGCACUCUCUUGGGGCCGCUCGCUUCCCUCACCCGCGUGGACGCUUGUAACCCCCUACUGCAAGCGCACCUGACCUGGGCGCGGGACGAACACGAAGGCCGCGGGAUUUCCACCUCUCUCACGCCCGUCUUCGGCCACCUCGCUUCCCCCCUUCGCGCUCGCCCACGCGCUCGACCCAUCUGGGCUGGGGCACGUGGCACAUUCACUCGUCGGCUUAGGGACCCCCCGGUCUCGAAACGCCGACACUAUGUGUUCACAAUCUGACCCGAGCCAGCAAACUGCUAGUUGCUGAUGCAUGCUUGUCAUGCUUCUCCGCUCGCGCGGAGGCGUAAACAUAGAACAUUGUUGUUGGCUUCACCGCUUUACUGGACCACACUACACCUGCGACGUCGCGGCUGCAGGCGUCGAGGGCGGUGGGGAAUUUGGGGUCGAUUCGAAUCAUAUGACCCUAUCGAACCUGUUUAGGAGCAAGGAUAAUGGAGGAGGUGGAAAUGCCAAAAUCCCUUACCCGGAGGGCUUAUUUGGGAGCAAGAAUAUCGAAGAAGAUUAGAUGGACUGAAAUCCACUUGGUAUUUAAAAUUAAAUAGGAAGAAAUUUUUAACUCCUCUAAUCCCCUCCGAUAUAGGUCAGGUCCUCAAUCGUCUACAUUAUCCUUGCUACUAAAGGAGUCACUCGUGUCUGAGUCCUCACCUUGUGGCACAUCGAGGCCGGGCCGCUGCCGCCUGCCAGUCCGCCAACACCACAGCUGGUUUCGCCGGGCACACAAGCCAUCUAGCUGCAUCGGAUUCGAUCGGAGCUUUUUGUGCUUUAGCGCGGCUGCAGCUCAACUUACCCUCGCCUGCGGUCGCCGGGGAUCCAGCGGAAAGCGACGCCGGCACGUGCACUUUGCACCGCCCAGCCCAGGGGCCAUUCUGCUUCAGCAGCCGUCGUCGAUGCACCCGGCACACGGCCGUUGAUGGCCGUCGAGAAAGCCACGGACCGGAUCUAGAGACAGAGAUGGCCUUUUGACCCUGGAAAACGCAGCGCAAAUCCGCCACCUUUAAACUAAAAAAAACAAAAGAAGCUUCUUCACAGGCACAGUCCUACGCAGCCGUUGGAAGCUAAGAUCUGGAGGAGGAGGAGGAGGAGGAUGGUCUAGCUAGCAACUGUUUGCCCACAUUGCAUGUCUGGGGCCGGUGAGCGUAUGGAUUUGGAUUACACUAGGCAGUCCGUGUACUACGCCCGUAUAAACAUUUGAUGACCGGCCAAUUGAUGCGUGGGUAGCGUUAUCAUAAGACACCGGAGCACGGCAGAGCACACGCAAUUAGUAGGCGUGUGAAUUCUGUUUCGCUCGCUGUGGGCCACUGGGCCGGUCAUCAUUCUUCUCGGCUGUUUAUUGGCAUGCUCGAAAAGCAUAUGUAUGCACAGCUAGCUAGAGCCAAGAAGCGGACAAGCUAAUGUGUAUGGUUCAUCCAUUCAUGAGAUGGGUGUUGAUGGUGCUGGGCAGAUCAGGAAUGGCGUUGCACGGCACCAAAAAUCAAGACCAAAGAGGAAAAUAUGGUAGGAGCGGGACAAGAAAAAAGACUGUUCAGAGGAUCAAUAACCUGCUACAAUGACAGAAGGAAAAAAAAACAAUGGCAUGCCUUGCAAAUAACUUGAACAGCAGGGGCCAGUGGUAUCACGCUCACACAAGGAGCUGAAGUGCACGCCACCACUAUCCAUCCUGCUCCGGUGCUCCCACUCCCGGACUCCCCUCAGUCCCUCACUCCCACGCGCACGCAUAGGCAUAGCAAGCACCGCGCCCAGCCGGCCGCACCUCCGCUCCGCGCUCUCGCCCCGCCCACACAAUGCGCCGCGCUGCCGCGAUCCUCCUGUCCCUCGCCCUCGCAGCCGCCGCCACCACCACGGCGGCGGCGGCCGUGGCGAAGGCUCCCGUGCCGCCGCCGCCGCCGCCGCCGCCUCCGAACGUGACGGCGGAGAUGGCCAAGGGCGGGUGCAAGGCGUUCGCGGGCCUGAUCGCGGCGUCCCCCGACGCGUCGUCCACGUACCAGUCGGCCGUGGAGGGCGGCAUGACGGUGUUCUGCCCCUCCGACGACGCCGUGCGCGCCUUCCUGCCCAAGUACAGGAACCUGAGCGCGGACGGCAAGGCGGAGCUGCUGCUGUUCCACGCCGUGCCCGUGCACUACUCGCUGGGGAGCCUCAAGUCCAACAACGGGCCCAUGAACACGCUGGCCACCGACGGCGCCGCCAGGAACUUCAACUUCACGGUGCAGAACCGGGGCGACGUCGUCACCAUCGCCACGGCCGCCUCCGCGCCCGCGCGGGUCAAGUCCACGGCGCUGGACGAGGACCCGCUCGCCAUCUACGUCAUCAGCGCCGUGGUGGAGCCCGUGGAGCUCUUCAAGCCCGCGCCGGCGCCGGUGCCAGCGCCCGCCCCCGCCCCCGCUAGUGUCGCGGACGCGCCCAGGCCCGGCAAGGCCGCCGCGGGCCGGCGCCACCCGCCGCCCGCCGCGGCCGACGCGCCCGGCCCCGCCGCAGAGGACAACGCGGCUCCCGUGGACCAGAAGGACGCCAAGAAGAGCGCGGCCGCCGGCGCGCCGUGCGCUCUGUGGUGGCUCGCCGCCGCGCUGGCCGCGGCCUCAGCAUUGGCUUAGCGAUCGGUGUUGUUUGUGCCUUUAGUUUUUUCUUCCGGUGUUGAUCCAUUGGCGUGCGAUCGUGGUUUGUGAUGGCGUAUUUGCGAGGUUUGUGCUUUUUUUUUUCUCGAUCGGGAGAAAAUAGUGUAUGCCUGCUUCGGUUUAGAUGUUUCUUCUUGCCUUUUUUUUUCUAGUUCUACCUGUUACCACAACUAGAGUGAGGAUCAGCGCGUGUUUAUCAGGAGGUGUUUGUAUUUUUGGUUAUGAUGAUGACGGACGAGUGAGGUCGGGGCACUGAAUUGCUGCUCUGUCUGACGGCGACGAGCUUCUGGUGGUUUCCUUGUUAUCGUAGGUUAAAAUCGCUGGUAUGGUACGCCAAUUUCUAAUGUUCAUGGUCAAAUCUCACUAACGAAAUCUGACUUGCUACGGCCUUCAUCGGAGCGCAUAAACAAAUGCAUCGCCGGAUCUCCGAAGCGAGUGCCGCCCCUACGCAUUCAUUUCUUGCGCCCCCAGUUGUCGGUGGAUGCCAUUCAUUCGACACUCAUCGCAGGUCAAACAACCCGAGCCACACACCACAAAAGUAUACUACGCCUAUACUACUGCCAAUAAAAGACAAGUGGAGUGUGGCAGUAAUAAAAACAAGGCCCAAGUGUUGGCUCAGAGUACCAGAGCCCUGGAGCCUGGAGGGCUGACGCAGCACUGCGGAACCGUGAGCUCCACGGGGCUUCUAUUCUUGGCGCCGAUCAUGUGCGAUGGAGCACGAAAGCGAGCAGUGCGCCACCGACGAAACGGUGGGCCUCUGACGCUGGCACCGCCCGCCCACUGCGUCAUCCUCCCUGCAUAGCCCAAACAUCUUUUGGUGCUGGAAAGUACUUUGCACCGUCGGCCAUCGAUCAGUCCACGCAACGCCACUACGCCAGUAUCAUCUCUCGUGUCAGUGCCACAAGACGAUCGGUCAGACGGUCACUGCUGCGACCCCACUCCUUGGCCCUUCACUGGUGUCCUAUUAGGAACGCCUCCGACGACCUCGAUGGCCUAGCAAAUCCAAUGUCUGCUGUAACGUCGGGUCACUAACGUGCGGAACGGAACCAGAUCUAUACCAGUCUCAUAAAUCAGUGACUCAUCUGUCGUAACGUCUAGGGAUGUUAUGGUACAGGAUCAAGUCGAGGGGGAGGGGAGCACCUGAAUAGGGCACUUGGUUAUUAACCUCUUCAAGCUUUGUCGGGUACCCAGUAAUGGGAUACCCAAGGCCAGACUCAUAAGCCUCUCUGGCUCAUUUAUCGACAAAAUCCCCACCAAGCGAGUCUACGAGGUAGGACGAACGAUCAAGUCUCCGUCGAGCAAGUCUGCAAGGUGGGGCGAACGACUAAGUCUUCGCCGAGCGAUUUUACGAAGCGGGAUGAACGACCAAGUCUUUGCUGAGCAAGUCUGUGAGCCGGAGUGAAUGACCAAGUGCCCGCCAAGCAGAUCCACAAGAAAGGAACACAGGCCGACGCUAUCAGCCCACGGCAGCCGCAACAAGACACAACAGUGCCAAGCCACGUCCGAACCAUACAUACAGUACCAAAUGGUCUUUGGCGGACGCGACGUGACACCGCCGUAUGCGCCCACGAGUAUAACCUCACUGACUCAUGGGGCCAAUCAAACUAGGUCAUACGGGCCUUAGCACCAGAGUCUCUACAGUGACACACGCAUACCCGAAGGAACGCAACAGGUACACCAUACCGGGGUGUAUGUCUACGCACGCUAGGGGGUGACACAAGCCCAUGACAACAGGUAGAACCACGCCACACACGACCACUCCGUGGGAGUGACUCGAAGGACCCCGCUCACUACUGUGGAGGUGUUAGCAAUAGACUAGCUACAGGGGUCGUAUGACAAUUGACAAACGAGCGAGACAAUACGCCAUACCAAGAGCACGACUACGCACGACCCUAUGGAGAACACACACGACGACUCGGAGAAGCCUCUCUCUCCCUCCUCUCUCUCUCUCUCUCUCUCUCGUAGAAGACAGAUCUCCAUUGUAAGGUCCAACCCUUGAAUUAUAAAAGGGCCUGGCCCAAUUUUCUAUAGGGACACAAGCACAAAUGUUGUAACAUGUCUCAAAGUAAUACUACGAUCAACACUACACUAGACUAGGGCGAAAGCCUGAACCAUUAUUAUCCCAGUGUCUUAGUUCCUCGCUCGGAUCCCCGUGAUGGACCAUUCGGAGUGAGUCCGCACUUGCAUCCCCCACCGAGCACAAAUCUAUUAUCGCAUCCUCGCAAACGGAGCCACUCUCUAAUGGCAACAGAAGGAGCUUGACUCACUCGUCGAGAGGCUCGACCGGGUUUACGAUAACAUUGAGAAGAGACGCCUCAAAACCAAAAGGCCCCAGGCGAGGAAUAUUUGCGACCAGAUCGCUGAAAACAGCAAUGGCACGCAGUACUUCGUCAAGCCCGGGCAAACGUGGCUGCGACGACCAUGAUGCUCCGAUCGAUCCUCGAGCUGGAUGAGAUCGAGGCAAAGACCGGGACCUUUGCAACUUGAUGGAGAGAGUCGCGGUACAGCAAGCUAAGGUCUGAAAGGGAAAUGUGCCCUUGGGUCAUUUCUAAGUAUUUUGGUGAUUUAAUGUCCAACACAAGUGCCUAAGUGUUAAAUGGUGGACAAAGUACAAAUCAAGUAUAAAGGUAUGUUUCUUAGACUUAGUAUAUUGUUUUAGAGACUAAUGUAUUGUGUCUAAGUGCUGGAAACAGGAAAAAUCAAGUUGAAAUUAAAGACGACUUUGUUCAGCCAAAGUCAGCUCUGUCAGGGUGCACCGGACUUUCCGGUGGUGCACCGGACAGUGUCCGGUGCGCCAGGCUGGCUCAGGUGAACUUGCUGCUCUCGGGAAGUAAUUAACGGCGUACGGCUAUAAUUCACCGGACUGUCUGGUGUGCACCGGACUGUCCGGUGAGCCAACGGGCGGCCGGGCCAACGGUCGGCCGCGCGAUCCGCGCGAGACACGUGGCCGAGCCAACGGUCGAAAGGAGGCACCGGAUUGUCCGGUGUGCACCGGAUUGUCCGGUGUGCACCGGACUGUCCGGUGCGCCAACGGCUCCAAAGCGCCAACGGUCGGCUUCGCCAAAGAAGGAAAGAAAUCCGCACCGGACAGUGUCCGGUGGUGCACCAGACUGUCCGGUGCGCCAGGCGACAGAAGGCAAGAAUUGCCUUCCUGGAAUGCACUCAUCGGCUCCUAGCUGCCUUGGGGCUAUAAAAGGGACCCCUAGGCGCAUGGAGGAGUACACCAAGCAUUCUCUAAGCAUUCCUAAGCACCAAGACUUCGAUUCCGCGCAUUCGAUUCUUUGCGAUAGCAAUUAGAGCUCCAUUUGAGUUGUGAACUCGCUGAGUGUGUUGUGAGCUCUUGUUGCGACUUGUGUGCGUGUUGGUACUCUAAUUUCGUGUCUUGUGUGUGUUGCUCAUCCCUUCCUUACUCCGUGCUUCUUUGUGAACAUCAAAGUGUAAGGGCGAGAGGCUUUAAGUUGUGGAGAGUCCUCGCAAUCGGGAUAUAGAAAAGCAAAGCAAAACACCGUGGUAUUCAAGUUGGUCUUUGGACCAUUUGAGAGGGGUUGAUUGCAACCCUCGUCCGUUGGGACGCCACAACGUGGAGUAGGCAAGUGUUGACUUGGCCGAACCACGGGAUAAACCACUGUGCCAUCUCUGUGUUGAUCUCUUUGUGGUUUUCGUGUUGUGCAAGCUCUCCUCUCUAGCCACUUGGCUUAACUGUGCUAACUCCUAAUCAAGUUUUGUGGAUUAAGUUUUAAGUUUUCACAGGAUCACCUAUUCACCCCCCCUCUAGGUGCUCUCAAUUGGUAUCAGAGCAGUUCUCUUCAAGAAAGGGACUAAUCGCCCGAAGAGAUGGAUCCUAAGGGCAAGGGGAUGGUGGUCAACGAUAAGGAGAAGGAGUCCUUUGUCAAUGAUCCAAAGGAGGACAAGCCCACUGACUCGGGCUCGAGCCACAAAAGAAGAGAUGGGAGGAAGAAGAAAACAAGGCGCAUCAAGGAGAUCGUCUACUAUGACGACAGCGAUGAAUCCUCUUCUUCCCAAAAGGACGACGACAACGACUAUGAGAAAAAGAAGACGGUUAACUCAAACUUCUCUUUCGAUUAUUCUCGUAUUCCACAUAGCUCAAAUGCACAUUUGCUUUCCAUUCUACUUGGUAAACCUCCUCAUUUUGAUGGAGAGGACUACGGAUUUUGGAGUCACAAAAUGCGUAGUCACUUGUUCUCUCUCCGUCCGAGUAUAUGGGAGAUAGUAGAGAGUGGGAUGAAAUUUGAUAGCUCGGAUAGUCAUUUAUUUAUAAAUGAGCAGAUUCAUAAAAAUGCACAAGCUACUACUGUGUUGUUAGCCUCAUUGUGCAAGGACGAGUAUCAUAAGGUGAGCGGCUUGGACAAUGCCAAGCAGAUCUGGGACACCCUCAAGAUCUCACAUGAGGGGAACGACGUCACCAUGCUCACCAAAAUGGAGUUGGUGGAAGGCGAACUCGGUAGAUUCACGAUGAUAAGAGGGGAGGAGCCAACACAGACAUACAACAGGCUCAAGACCCUCGUCAACAAGAUAAGGAGCUAUGGAAGCACGCGAUGGACGGACCACGACGUUGUCCGACUAAUGCUAAGGUCCUUUACCGUCCUUGAUCCACAUCUUGUGAACAAUAUUCGUGAGAAUCCUAGGUACACGAAGAUGACGCCCGAGGAGAUUCUUGGAAAGUUCGUAAGCGGGCGGAUGAUGAUCAAGGAGGCUAGGUACGUCGACGAUGCAUUAAAUGGCCCAAUCCAAGAGCAUCAAACUAUAGCUCUCAAGCAACAAGGAGCAAGGAGGCGCUACCUAGCAAGGUGGCGCAAGUUGAGGCGGCCGGGCUUAAUGAAGAAGAGAUGGCCCUCAUCAUCAAGAGAUUCAAGACGGCACUAAAGGGUCGCAAGGAGCACCCCAACAAGAACAAGACAAAGGGGAAGCGCUCUUGCUUCAAAUGUGGUAAGAUUGGUCAUUUUAUCGCUAAUUGUCCCGAUAAUGAUAGUGACCAGGAAAAGAAGAGCGGAAAGUGGGAGAAGAAGAAAAACUACAAGAAGGCGAAGGGCGAGACACAUCUUGGAAAGGAGUGGGAUUCGGAUUGCUCCUCAUCCGACUCCGACAACGAAGGACUCGCCGCCACCGCCUUCAACAAGUCAUCCCUCUUCCCCAACGAGCAUCACACUUGCAUCAUGGCAAGGGAAAAGAAGGUAAGCACUCGUAAUGCUAGUACUUAUGCUUCUUCAAGUGAGGAUGAGUCUAGUGAUGAUGAUGAAAUAGAUUAUUCAUGCUUAUUCAAGGGCCUAGAUAGAACCAAGGUUGACAAAAGUAAUGAAUUAAUUGAUGCCUUAAAUGAUAAGAAUAGGUUAUUAGAAAAGCAAGAGGAUCUUUUGUAUGAAGAGCAUGAUAAAUUUGUUAGUGCACAAAAUUCUCUUGCUCUAGAAAUUAAAAGGAAUGAAAUGCUUGCUUGUGAACUAUCUACUUGUCAUGAAACCAUUUCUACUUUAAAAGGUGCUAAUAAUGAUUUAAAUGCUAAACUAGAAAUAGCAAACAAAUCUAACUCUUGUGUAGAACAUGUUAAGAUUUGCAAUAGGUGCAAAGAUUUUAAUGUUGAUGCCUGUAGUGAACACCUAGUUUGCAUCUCUAAAUUAAAUGAUGAAGUGGCUAGUCUUAAUGCCCAACUUAAGACUAGCAAGAGUGAUUUUGAUAAACUAAAAUUUGCUAGGGAUGCCUACACGGUUGGUAGACACCCCUCAAUUAAGGAUGGGCUUGGCUUCAAGAGGGAAGCCAAGAACUUGACAAGCCAUAAGGCUCCCAUCUCCAUCAAGGCGAAAGGGAAGGCCCCUAUGGCUAGUAGUGCUCAUAAGAACCAUGCUUUCAUGUAUCAUGAUAGGAGACAUUCUAGGAAUGCUUUUAGAAGUUAUGAUGCUUUUGAUUCUCAUGCCAUGGUCGCUUCUAGCUCUUCUAUUAUGUGUGAUAGAAAUGUUGCUAGGAAAAAUGCUAUGCCUAGAAGAAAUAUUGUUCAUGCUCCUAGGAAAGUAAUGAAUGAACCUUCUACAAUUUAUUAUGCUUGCAAUGCUUCAUUUGCAAUUUGUAGAAAGGAUAGGAAGAUAGUUGCUAGAAAAUUAGGGGCAAAAUGUAAGGGAGACAAAACUUGCAUUUGGGUCCCUAAGACUAUUGUGACUAACCUUGUAGGACCCAACAAGAGUUGGGUACCUAAGACCCAAGCCUAAUUUGCCUUGCAGGUUUAUGCAUCCGGGGGCUCAAGCUGGAUUAUCGACAGCGGAUGCACAAACCACAUGACGGGGGAAAAGGGGUUGUUCUCUUCCUACGUCAAGAACAAGGAUCCCCAAGAUUCAAUCAUAUUCGGUGAUGGGAACCAAGGCAAGGUGAAAGGGUUAGGAAAAAUUGCUAUUUCGUCCGAGCACUCUAUUUCUAAUGUGUUUUUAGUUGAGUCGCUUGGAUAUAACUUGUUGUCUGUUAGUCAACUUUGCAAUAUGGGAUAUAACUGUUUAUUCACAAUGUAGAUGUGUCUGUCUUUAGAAGAAGUGAUGGUUCAUUAGCUUUUAAGGGUGUAUUAGACGACAAACUUUAUUUAGUUGAUUUUGCAAAAGAGGAGGCCGGUCUAGAUGCAUGCUUAAUUGCUAAGACUAGCAUGGGCUGGCUGUGGCAUCGACGCUUAGCACAUGUGGGGAUGAAGAACCUUCACAAGCUUCUAAAGGGAGAACACGUGAUAGGUCUAACUAAUGUUACUUUCGAAAAAGAUAGACCUUGUGCAGCUUGUCAAGCAGGGAAACAGGUGGGAAGCUCUCAUCAUGCCAAAAAUGUGAUGACAACAUCAAGACCCCUGGAGUUACUUCAUAUGGAUCUUUUCAGACUCGUCGCCUAUCCAAGCAUAGGAGGAAGUAAGUAUGGUCUUGUUAUAGUUGAUGAUUUUUCCCGCUUCACUUGGGUAUUCUUUUUGCAGGAUAAAUCUGAAACCCAAGGGAUCCUCAAGCGCUUCCUAAGGAGAGCUCAAAACGAGUUUGAGCUCAGGGUGAAGAAGAUAAGAAGCGACAAUGGGUCCGAGUUCAAGAACCUUCAAGUGGAGGAGUACCUUGAGGAGGAAGGGAUCAAGCACGAGUUCUCCGCUCCCUACACACCACAGCAAAAUGGUGUGGUAGAGAGGAAGAACAGGACGCUUAUAGACAUGGCGAGGACGAUGCUUGGAGAGUUCAAGACCCCCGAGCGCUUUUGGUCGGAAGCCGUGAACACGGCUUGCCACGCCAUCAACAGGGUCUACCUUCAUCGCCUCCUCAAGAAGACGUCAUACAAGCUACUAACCGGUAACAAACCCAAUGUUUCGUAUUUCCGAGUUUUUGGGAGUAAAUGCUACAUUUUAGUGAAGAAGGGUAGGAAUUCUAAAUUUGCUCCCAAAGCUGUAGAAGGGUUUUUGUUAGGUUAUGAUUCAAAUACAAAGGCGUAUAGGGUCUUCAACAAAUCAUCGGGUUUGGUUGAAGUCUCUAGCGACGUUGUAUUUGAUGAAACUAAUGGCUCUCCAAGAGAGCAAGUUGUUGAUCUUGAUGAUGUAGAUGAAGAAGAUGUUCCGACGAUCGCAAUUCGCACCAUGGUGAUUGGAGAUGUGCGACCACAGGAACAAAAUGAGCGAGAUCAACUUUCUUCCUCAACAAUGGUGCAUCCCCCAACUCAAGAAGAUGAACAGGUUCAUCAAAAGGAGACGUGUGAUCAAGGGGGAGCAAAAGAUGAUCUUUUAAUGGAGGAAGAAGCACAACCGGCACCUCCAACCCAAGUCCGAGCGAUGAUUCAAAGGGAUCAUCCCGUUGACCAAAUUUUGGGUGACAUUAGCAAGGGAGUAACUACUCGAUCUCGAUUAAUUAAUUUUUGUGAGCAUUACUCCUUUGUCUCUUCUAUUGAACCUUUCAGGGUAGAGGAGGCCUUGCUAGAUCCGGACUGGGUGUUGGCCAUGCAAGAGGAGCUCAACAACUUCAAGAGAAAUGAAGUUUGGACACUGGUGCCUCGUCCCAAGCAAAAUGUUGUGGGAACCAAGUGGGUGUUCCGCAACAAACAAGACAAGCACGGGGUGGUGACAAGGAACAAGGCACGACUUGUGGCAAAAGGUUAUGCCCAAGUCGCAGGUUUGGACUUUGAGGAGACCUUCGCUCCUGUGGCUAGGCUAGAGUCCAUUCGUAUUUUGCUAGCAUAUGCCGCUCACCAUUCUUUCAGGUUGUUCCAAAUGGAUGUGAAGAGCGCUUUCCUCAACGGGCCAAUCAAGGAGGAGGUGUACGUAGAGCAACCCCCUGGCUUCGAGGAUGAAUGGUACCCCGACCACUGAGGCAACUCAAGGAUGGGACCUUCAUCUCCCAAACGAAGUACACGCAAGACUUGAUCAAGCGGUUUGGGAUGAAGGAUGCCAAGCCCGCAAAGACUCCAAUGGGAACCGACGGACACACCGACCUCAACAAAGGAGGUAAGUCCGUUGAUCAAAAGGCAUACCGGUCUAUGAUAGGGUCUUUACUUUAUUUAUGUGCUAGUAGACCGGAUAUUAUGCUUAGUGUAUGCAUGUGUGCUAGAUUUCAAUCUGAUCCAAGGGAAUGCCACUUAGUGGCUGUGAAGCGAAUUCUUAGAUAUUUAGUCGCUACGCCUUGCUUCGGGAUCUGGUAUCCAAUGGGGUCUACCUUUGACUUGAUUGGAUAUUCAGACUCCGAUUAUGCUAGAUGUAAGGUCGAUAGGAAGAGUACAUCGGGGACGUGCCAAUUCUUAGGAAGGUCCCUGGUGUCAUGGAGUUCUAAGAAACAAACUUCCGUUGCCCUAUCCACCGCUGAGGCCGAGUACGUUGCCGCGGGACAGUGUUGCGCGCAACUACUUUGGAUGAGGCAAACCCUCAGGGACUUUGGCUACAAUCUGAGCAAAGUCCCACUCCUAUGUGAUAAUGAGAGUGCUAUCCGCAUGGCGGAUAAUCCUGUUGAACACAGCCGCACAAAGCACAUAGACAUCCGGCAUCACUUUUUGAGAGACCACCAGCAAAAGGGAGAUAUCGAAGUAUUUCAUGUUAGCUCCGAGAACCAGCUAGCCGAUAUCUUUACCAAGCCUUUAGAUGAGCAGACCUUUUGCAAGCUGCGUAGUGAGCUAAAUGUCUUAGAUUCGCGGAACUUGGAUUGAUUAAUAGCAUACAUGUUUUUAUGCCUUGAUCAUGUUCCUUAAUGCAUUUUGUUCUUUCUUUAUGGUGCUCAAGUUGUACAAGCACUCCCCGGACCUCACAAGUCCUUUGCAAGUGAUGCACAAAUUUAGGGGGAGAUGUGCUACAACUUGACCCUUUGAGACUAACUGUGUGCUUGAGUUUGCUUAAUUUAGUCUCAAAGGAGGAUUGAAAGGGAAAAGGUGGACUUGGACCAUGAAAGACUUCCACUGCACUCUGAUGAAAGAGUAACUUAUUCCAAGUUCAUCUCUAUACUCUUAUUACCUUUUUACUCUUAGUUGAAGAUUUUGGUGAGGCGAUGGGGUUAAAGGGCCAAAAUUGAUCCCGUUUUGGUGCUUGAUGCCAAAGGGGGAGAAAAUAAGGCCAAAGCAAUAAAUGGAUCAGCUACCACUUGUGAAUUUUGAAAAUAGUAGAGUUAGAGCUUUUGUUUGUCAAAAUACUCUUGUUUGCCUCUUAUUGUCAAAAGUUGGUCUCUUGUGGGGAGAAGGCUCAAUUAUGGGAAAAAGGGGGAGUUUUUGAAUCCUUGAUCAAUUUCUCGUGAAAUAUCUCUCUUUAUGUUUCAACAUGUGUGUUUGACUUAGAGAUAGAAAAUUGAGUUUGAUUUGCAAAAACAAACCAAGUGGUGGCAAAGAAUGAUCCAUAUAUGUCAAAUUUGAAUCAAAACAAUCUUGAGUUCUUAUUUGAAGUGAUUUUGCACUUGUUCUACUUGCUUUAUGUUGUGUUGGCAUAAAUCAUCAAAAAGGGGGAGAUUGAAAGGGAAAUGUGCCCUUGGGUCAUUUCUAAGUAUUUUGGUGAUUUAAUGUCCAACACAAGUGCCUAAGUGUUAAAUGGUGGACAAAGUACAAAUCAAGUAUAAAGGUAUGUUUCUUAGACUUAGUACAUUGUUUUUGAGACUAAUGUAUUGUGUCUAAGUGCUGGAAACAGGAAAAAUCAAGUUUAAAUUAAAGACGGCUUUGUUCAGCCAAAGUCAGCUCUGUCAGGGUGCACCGGACUGUCCGGUGGUGCACCGGACAGUGUCCGGUGGUGCAGGCUGGCUCAGGUGAACUUGCUGCUCUCGGGAAGUAAUUAACGGCGUACGGCUAUAAUUCACCGGACUGUGCGGUGUGCACCGGACUGUCCGGUGAGCCAACAGUCGACCGGGCCAACGGUCGGCCGCGCGAUCCGCGCGAGACACGUGGCCGAGCCAACGGUCGGAAGGAGGCACCGGACUGUCCGGUGUGCACCGGACAGUGUUUGGUGCGCCAACGGCUCCAAAGCGCCAACGGUCGGCUUCGCCAAAGAAGGAAAGAAAUCCGCACCGGACAGUGUCCGGUGGUGCACCGGACUGUCCGGUGCGCCAGGCGACAGAAGGCAAGAAUUGCCUUCCUGGAAUGCACUCAACGGCUCCUAGCUGCCUUGGGGCUAUAAAAGGGACCCCUAGGCGCAUGGAGGAGUACACCAAGCAUUCUCUAAGCAUUCCUAAGCACCAAGACUUCGAUUCCGCGCAUUCAAUUCUUUGCGAUAGCAAUUAGAGCUCCAUUUAAGUUGUGAACUCGCUGAGUGUGUUGUGAGCUCUUGUUGCGACUUGUGUGCGUGUUGGUACUCUGAUUUCGUGUCUUGUGUGUGUUGCUCAUCCCUUCCUUACUCCGUGCUUCUUUGUGAACAUCAAAGUGUAAGGGCGAGAGGCUCCAAGUUAUGGAGAGUCCUCGCAACCGGGAUAUAGAAAAGCAAAGCAAAACACCGUGGUAUUCAAGUUGGUCUUUGGACCACUUGAGAGGGGUUGAUUGCAACCCUCGUCCGUUGGGACGCCACAACGUGGAGUAGGCAAGUGUUGACUUGGCCGAACCACGGGAUAAACCACUGUGCCAUCUCUGUGUUGAUCUCUUUGUGGUUUUCGUGUUGUGCAAGCUCUCCUCUCUAGCCACUUGGCUUAACUGUGCUAACUCCUAAUCAAGUUUUGUGGAUUAAGUUUUAAGUUUUCACAGGAUCACCUAUUCACCCCCCUCUAGGUGCUCUCAAUGUCGAUCAGCGAGAACACACCGGCAUGGAAAGCCGUGGCACACACACGACCUCGUCCUAGAGCAAGGGGGAGCAGGCCUCAAAGUCAACUCCAACGCGUAUCCACAUAAAGCACCAUAUCGGAGGCAUUCGCUACGCCCGGCACAUCCUCGACAACAGGCGUCGAGAACAAGAAGAAGUUGAGCAGUCGUGCGAAAGAAGGCAUCUGCAACCCCAGCCCACCUGGGACAAGACCACGUGCCUUUGGGCGCGAGAUCCAAAAAGCGCAUUUCCCCAAAGGUAUGUGCGCCAGCCAACAUUUUCAAGUACAAAAUAGGUACGUCCCACCGUGAUCCAUUAGGAGUGGGUACCCCAUAUUUUGGGUACCAAUAGAGGUCCCUGGGCCCACCUCGGGUGAGGUGGCAAACCCGCAGGUGGGGCCAUACCUGCUUUUUGCUCCAUGCUAGUCCUGUGCAGCAACUCUACGCAUGCGGCCUCCAUGCCGAGUGGUUCGCUUGGCGACGCUUUGCUGUUGCUACAAAGACAAAACUUGGGAGCAAACAAUUCUUUCAUAAGUUAGCAUACUUGAGCUAUGCGACGUACACCAGUAGACUGGGUUUAUCAGGCUAGAACCCACCAUACCGGAACUCACAUAAGUGCAGCCUGGCUCAAAGGCUAGAUUUCCCUCUACUGCCCCCCGAUUACAUUAGCUCUCUAGGAGGUAGUCUCAUCUGUCUAAGGAAACUGUCAGACCAAAGGUCGGUCUUGAAUACAACCCAGGACCGAUGCUUAGCAGCAUACCCUCAUGAUCCUUACUUUGUUGCACUAAAUCUAUUGAAUCAUGUCACUGAAUCUUGCCGAGCAAAGUUUUGGGAUCCAACCCUAAAAUUUGGAUGGGGUCUAGACUUUUAGGGACCAAGUCCGAGGUAUUGGUUCAAUUGUUCUAGGGUGGCGGAAGGUGUUAGCUUACAGUACGGAACCAAGCUAAGAGACUACCUAGCUCCGGACUGCCCCCAAGAAUGUGGACCUAUCCCCUAGACCUAGUCCCCAGCAGUUCUAUCCCUGUUCAACAUCAAGGGGGGUCCCAAACUAAGUGACAAGCUAGUACAUAACUUAGAUUUUAUGAUAACAACAGAAGUGAGAAUCUCAAGUGGGGGGGUAGAAGGAACGUCAUGUGUCGUUUAAAGCAGGAAAAGAGAUUGAUACAUAAGGAUUGAACUGAGAGCAAAAUCUUCCUUUAUUACUGGAUACAUGAGAUCUGUGCGAUGAACACUAGAGACCGGGUUUACGAGGGCGACCCUCACCGGGCCGCGUUUAUGAGGUUGGACCUCUCCGAGCCAUACCGGCUUCAUCAUAUAAGAAGGGAAGAAAAUGAGAAGAUGCAAGACCAGGGAUGCCAAAGCACAAGUCCUCUAUCCAUAAGAAGAAACUUAUGCCAUCUUUGUCUAUGAUAGCACAUCCCCAUUAUCAGGUGAUUUGCAAGCUGCACUAUGGCUGGCUUCGUACAAGCCUCUUCAACUUCCCACAUAUGAUGGUCAAUCUAACCCCAAGAAAUUCUUGUUGAGCUAUUAGGCAACCAUUGCCUUCUUCAAUGGGAACACAAUAGUACUGGUCAAGUCAUUCAUCAUGGCUGUAAGGGAUAUAACACAAACCUAGUACUCCUUUCUUCAUCCAGGAUCAAUGUAACGCCCUGAAUUUGGGGGUAGAUUUUUUUUUCUUCUUUUCUCUCACCAAAUUCGGGCGUUACCCUUUCUUUUUCCCUUUUCUCCUCGCUAAGCCUUGAUCUUUUCCAAAGUUAUGGCGAGAUUCGGCUUGUGAUCUCGUGUAAAGCAAAACCCUAAAAUGCUUUAUUUUGUUUGCUGCACCAUGCCGAACCAUGCAUUUAUUUUGGUUGGUUGAAAUUGUGAAAGCAUUCAUCUAGAAAAUAGAUUAAAGAAAAAGGAAAAUCUUUUUCUUCUCUCUCCCCCCUCUCCUCCCCUUUCGGCCCAGCCGCCCCCUCCCCUCGCGCGCGGCCCAGCUGGCCAGCCGGCCCAGUCGGUCUUCCCCCCUCUCCCUUCCCGCCGUGGGCCCCGCGCCAGCCUCCCGGCCCAGCUGCGGCCCAGCCGCCCCCGCCGGCCCCCCGCUCCCCACGCCGCGCCCACCUCGCGCGCGGUUGGAAAAACCGCUGCCGCCUCCCCCGCGCGGGCCCCACCCGUCAGCUCCCCCUCCCCAAACCCCUCUCUCUCUCCUCCCCUGCUCGCCCCCGCUCCCCUGCCCGACCCGCCCGCGCCCCCGCUCGGCUCACCGCCGAACCGCUCGCCACCGGCCUCCCUCCUCCGCGCGGUAAGCCCCUCCCCCCUCCUCCCUCUCCUCUCCCCCUCCGUCCCUCUCCCCGGCGUGGUCCCGCCCGUCCCGGAGUCCCGGCGCGGCCCCGCCCCCGGAGCUCGCGGCCAUGGCGUCCGCGGCCAUGGCGCGGCGUCCCGGUGCGACCCCCCUGCCCCGCCCGACGAACCCCCCCUCGCGCGCGCCCGCGGCGCUCGGCCCCGGCCAUGGCGGCGUCCCGGCGCGGCCCGGCCUCGCCCCGCCUGGCGCGCUCCCCUCCCCGCGCCCCGGCGGCGCUCGGCCCCCGGAGUGGCUCGGCCUCCCCCGCCCGCGGCGCUCGGCCCCGGCCCCUGCGUGGCCUCGCCCGCCCGCAGCAGCCCCGGCCCCACCCCCUUUCCCCCCCGCGUCUCGGCCUUCGCCGGCCGACCAUGGCGCGGUGGUCUGCGGCCCCGGCGUGGCGCCCUCCCCGGCGCGGCCCCCUGCCCGGCGCAGCGUGCUCGCCCGCCCGUCCCCGGCGUGGCCUCGGCGGCGCUCGCGCAGCCCCGACCCCCGGCGUGGCCUCGGCGGUGCGCGUGGAGCCCCGGCGCGGCCCGUGCAUGCACGGUGCCCCCGGCGAGCUCGCCGCACCCGCGGCUCGCGGCCAUGGCGGCUCGGUCCCGCCCGCCUUGGUGCGCCCCGUCCCUGCGCAGCGCGGCCCCGACCCGGUGUGGCUUCGGCUCGCGCGACCGUGGUGCCCCUGCGUAGCGCGACGCGUGCGCUGCUCGGCCCCGGCGUGUGCGCGACUCGUUCACGACACGUCAGCGCGGCCUUGCGCGUACGUACCCGCGUGGCGCACGGUGCUUUGGCAUGGCUCGUCGUGCCCUCGGCGCGACGUAUAGCGCUGUGCCGCGUUCGCGACGCGCUUGUCUACCCCCUAGACGAGCCCGUCUACCCCCCCCUCCCCGUAUAUUUUAUGCGCGCUAAUCACGUUGUUCAUGUUAAUGAAAUAGGAAACUCAAUUUGGAAAUUGGUUAUGUUGGUUAAUUCAUGUAGUUAAUCGUCUAGCUCAUUUAAUGUUGAUCGACUGAAAGUGGUCACGUUUCUAUUAGUGCAUGUAGCUAAUCCUUAUUAUUGGAGCUAAGUAGAACUAGAACACGUAACACCUAUUUAUUCUUCUACCCGUAAUGCUUCUCGAGCAUAAGCUCUGACCCCUGCGAGACCUUCCCCCGUCUCUUUCCAACCAUGGUAAAUGCAAUAUCGCAUGUCAUAUUCUAUGCAUGUUUAAUCUACUUUUUCUCUUGUAUGGUGUACUGUUUGUUUCCUAAUUUGAAUGGAUGGAUGUAUGUAUGUUUGCACUCGCAUAGAGAACGAUUCGGUCGAAGAGCCCGAAGAACUCGCAGGAGAAGCCCCUGAGCAGCAGUCGGUUGGUGGAGGCAAGUGUCCCUUGACCCAUCUUUGUCAUAUACAUUCUUUAAUUCACCUUCCGCAUUACACAUUUAUGCCUAAGGAUUGACUAGCUUUGUUAUCCAUGUCCUUGUUUACCUAUUUGGGUUGGAUUAUUAUUGCUUAGUCUUAUGCUAUUGCUCCACUCUAAUUAAUGAACAUGAUGAGAUUAUCUAUGAUACGCUGUCUUCCCUUUUGAUUAUGAUGAUGGUACUUGUGGCCUUUAAGGGGACUCGAGCGGUUUCUCGAGUGCCUCUCCGUAAGGACCUGCUCUUUGAAUGACCGUCCGGGAAAACAGUGCAACCAUGAGGGUGGAAUGGGGUGCCCUUAGCUGAAUAAUUAGAGGAUCCGGGGUGUAGUUCGCUUAGUCGUCGUGCCGUCAAUGGGGCUCGGUGUAUGCGGCUCGCUCUGUCAAGUUUGGGUUCGCCCCUUGGGGAGGAGUGCGGUGCAUUUAGGAAACCUAACGGGCGGCUACAGCCCCGGGGAAUCUUUGUAAAGGCUACGUAGUGAUGCCCUGCUGGGUCACCUUGGUAGUGAUCAAUAGAGAGUCAUGAUCUCCGGGCAGAAAGGGAAUCACGGCUUGUGGGUAAAGUGCACAACCUCUGCAGAGUGUAUGAAAACUAAUAUAUCAGCCGUGCUCGCGGUUAUGAGCGGCCAAGGGAGCUCCAGUGAUUAGUGGUACUUGAUCAGAGAUGUUCGGAUUUGUAGAUGGCAAUGAGAUGGAUGGAUUCUUGGUAUUGACUCUGGUAAUGGUAAGUGGUACUCUUUCCGUUUGGAAAGGAGUACGUUUGGGUUGAUAACGUGGGUUAAUUCUAAAACUUGGCUUUCUCUACUAGUAAUAAUAAUCUGACCUACUAAAAGCAACUGCUUGACUUAUCCCCCACAUAAAGCUAGUCCACUACAACCAGACAAGACACUUGCUGAGUAUGUUGAUGUAUACUCACCCUUGCUCUACACACCAAAACCCCCCCAUCCCCAGGUUGUCAGCAUUGCAACCACUGCUCAGGAGAAGAUGAAGUCGUGGAAGGAGACUUCCAGGAGUUCCAAGACUACGACGAGUUCUAGGCGUGGGUUAGCGGCAACCCCCAGUCGGCUGCCUGUGAAGGCCGCGUUUAUCUACGUUUCUUUUCCGCACUUUGAUUUAUUGUAAAGACUAUGUGGAUGUCUCAGACAUAUGAUGUAAUCGACUAUUAUUCCCCUUUUUCAAUACUAUUUGAGCACAGUGUGAUGAUGUCCAUGUUAUGUAACUGUUGUGUACGUGAAUUGCUGAUCCUGGCACGUACAUGGUUCGCAUUCGGUUUGCCUUCUAAAACCGGGUGUGACAUAAGUGGUAUAAAAGCCAGGCUGACUGUAGGACCGCUAACCUAGAGUAGAAUGGUCGUUCUAAGGAUUAUAUACCUCUGUCCCUGCCUUGACUUUGAUAUCCCUUCAAAAUUUGGUCAUAUCGACCAAAACUAUGUUCUACUGUAUAUUAUACCUUGCUGAAAAUUGUGUUUUAUUCUAAUCCUUCAUUUAUUUAUGGUUCAUUACUUGCUGGUCAUAUUAAUUCUGUUCUCACUCUUUUGCUUGUGGUGUCUUUUGUAGAUGGCUUGCCUUAGACACACCGCACAGAAGUCUGUCAUCCCCUUCUUACCCUCUCGUCUCGCGGAGCGUCCGCUUCGCCGUCCCGUGGCCGGUCAGUCCAGCCACUUGGAGAGGCUGCACCACCGCCUGCAUGAGGAGCAGGAACAUCGUCGACAGGAGCAACAGGGCUCUUCUUUCUCGCUCCAGCAGGAGAUAGAGUCUGUGAGGAGCUGCUCCUCUGUGCUUCCCCUGGAGGCGCCCCCUGCACCACCACUGGGCGCCUCAGCCUCUGGAGUAGCUGCUGGAGGAGACCCAGACGACGAAGGUGGCGACGACAGCUCGAGCCACGACACCAACUUUUCUGCUGAUCAGGAGCCGGAAGGAUGGGUUGCUCGACCCAUCACUCGCGACGCUGCUCGCGGGUGUCACUUCCACGAUGCGCUCGACACCCUGCUACGUCGGGCACUUAACCGGCGUACUUGGUCCAUCGAGUAUCGUUGUGUGGUCUACCAGCAUAGUCACGGGGUCAACCCGGACCGCUGGGAGGCGACCUGCUUGGUGCGCCGUCCGGAGAACAGUCUCCAGGGUGCGGAGGCCUGCUCAGAGCACUAUUCUAUCUCUGAGCGGGACUCAGCUGAGGCGGCCAUGCAAGAUGCCGCACGGCGUGCGCUUUCGCACUACUGAUCGGUUCUCGGUGGGGUAGCUGACGGUCUCAACCUGAAGUAUUACCCCCGCCGUCCAUCUGGCAGCAUAGGAGGCGUGAUUGUUUCACCUGUCGACGAGGACAAUCCUAGGUUGAGCAGCACAGUCAACCUAGCCGCCGUGCUAAACACGGAGCUGGACCAUGCAUUAGACGAGCUGAGUAGGGCUCGUGCUGAUAUCGCCCUGUUGUGGGCUGAGCGCGCGGAACGUCAUCACCUGGAUGAUGGUUCCCCCGCUCCCGUCGGGGACUCAGCACCCGUACCGCUCACCUCGGCGUGGACGCCAGUCUUAUGGCAAUCCCGACUGCAAGACCAAGAUAAAUCUAGAACCAUAGAUCGUUAGAGUCGAAUCUUGUAAUUAAUACGAAAUAUAUACGUAGAAGCUACCGUCUUAGCGUUAGUCUCGCUCUUAGUCAGUCUUAGUUAGACUGGGUAGUUUGCUAUAUCCUGUGCAUUUAUGUUUGUCAUGAUGAACUAUGUAUGAUUUGGAUCUUUGUAAUGACUGUCACCAGAGUGUGGGUAUCCCCUGCAUUUUGGUUUACCUGUUAUAUGUUAAAGGAGUUAGCUAUUUAGUUGGGAAGCCUUUUAUUCCACUUUCCUCUUUAUCUGAGAAGCUGUGUGGUCUGUGUUGGAGAUCAGUGAAGAUGCUCGUCUGUUCAGGGUUGUUGAAGAAUUCUAUGCUCUUUUCUUAUGCUGCAAGAUUUGCAAGAUCAGUUCUGAUAUGUGGUUGCAUUCUACAGAUGUCAGAGAACAGGCGCAGAGGAGGAAGGCGUGCUCAGCAGGAGCAAGCCGCUCAGCAGGAAGAGGUACCCCAGCAACAGCAACUGCCGCCCCCGCCCCCGAUGUACAUCGAGCAGAUGUUCCUGAUGCAGACUCAGGCAGUUCAAGCCAUUGGUCAGACUCUGGUCGCUAUUCAGCAGCAGUAGCAACAACAGCCACCACCUCAACCUCAGAUGCCUCAGAUGCCCAGAGACAAGCGUGCUGAAUUCAUGAGAGGUCAUCCACCAACGUUUGCUCAUUCUUCUGACCCCAUGGAUGUUGAAGACUGGUUGCGCACUGUGGAGCGAGAGUUGCAUACCGCUCAGUGCGACGAUAGGGAGAAAGUCCUGUAUGGUCCCCGUCUGUUGAGAGGAGCAGCUCAGUCAUGGUGGGAGUCUUAUCUUGUCACCCAUGCCAACCCCGACACCAUCACCUGGGAAGAGUUCAGAGGUAGCUUUCGUCAGUACCAUGUUCCUGCAGGUCUGAUGACAGUGAAGGAGGAGUUCCUGGCCCUCAAGCAAGGGUCAUCGUCUGUUAGCGAGUACCGGGACAGGUUUCUGCAGCUGUCUCGCUAUGCUCCUGAAGAUGUCAACACCGACGCCAAGCGACAGUACUGUUUCCUGAGAGGCUUGGUUGAUCAUCUGCAAUAUCAGCUGAUGAAUCAUACCUUCCCGACAUUCCAGCACUUGAUUGACAGAGCAAUCAUGACAGAGAGGAAGCGUAAAGAGAUGGAGGAUCGCAAGCGCAAAAUCAGUGGACCCCAGCCUGGAAGUAGCAAUCGUCCUCGUUUCUCAAGCAAUCAACCUCAGCAGUUCAGGCAGAACCAGCGUCCACCUCAGCAUCAGCAGUUCCAAAGGCAGUAUCCUCAGCACCAGUAUCAGAAUCAUCAGAACAAUCAGUCAGGAGGAGGUCAGUUUCAGAGGCAGAAUCAGCAGGCACCUUGUCUUCCUGCCCCAGCAAACCAGCAGAACAGUCAGGCAGCACCAGCUCAGGUUGGAAACAGAGCAUGUUUCCACUGUGGAGAGCAAGGCCACUGGGUGAUGCAAUGUCCGAAGAAGGCAGCCCAGCAACAGUCAGGCCCUAAUGCCCCAACAAAGCAGAAUGUGUCUCAGCCUGGAGCAGGCAACCGCUCUCAGCCACGCUAUAAUCAUGGGAGACUGAACCACUUGGAGGCUGAAGCAGUUCAGGAGACCCCCGACAUGAUAGUAGGUAUGUUCUCAGUCGACUCUCAUAUUGGAGAAGUGUUAUUUGAUACUGGAGCAACACAUUCUUUCAUUACUGCAUCAUGGGUAGAAGCACAUAAUCUUCCAAUAACUACCAUGUCAACCCCCAUUCAAAUUGACUCAGACGGUGGUAGAAUUCGAGCUGAUAGCAUAUGUUUGAAUGUAUGUGUGGAAAUAAGGGGGAUAGCGUUUCCCGCUAACCUCAUAGUAAUGGGUACUCAGGGAAUAGAUGUCAUCCUAGGGAUGAAUUGGCUAGAUAAGUAUCAGGCAGCUAUCAGUUGUGAUAAGAGGACAAUCAAAUUGGUGUCCCCACUAGGAGAGGAAGUGGUGACCGAGUUAGUCCCACCUGAGCCGAAGAAAGGAAGUUGUUAUCAGAUGGCUGUCGAUAGCAGUGAAGCAGACCCAAUUGAGAGUAUCAAGAUUGUGUCUAAGUUUCCAGAUGUGUUUCCAAAGGACUUCUCAGGUAUGCCACCAGAGCGGAAAGUUGAAUUUGCCAUAGAGCUUCUUCCUGGAACCGCCCCCAUCUUUAAGAGAGCUUACAGAAUAUCUGGGCCAGAGUUGGUCGAGCUUAAGAAGCAGAUCAAUGAGUUGUCAGAGAAAGGUUACAUCCGGCCAAGCACCUCACCUUGGGCUGCCCCUGUCCUAUUUGUGGAAAAGAAAGAUGGCACCAAAAGGAUGUGUAUCGAUUAUCGAGCUCUGAAUGAGGUCACCAUCAAGAACAAGUACCCCUUGCCCAGAAUAGAAGAUCUGUUCGACCAGUUGAGAGGAGCCAGUGUGUUCUCCAAGAUAGAUCUGAGGUCAGGUUAUCAUCAGCUCAGGAUCCGACCUUCAGACAUUCCGAAGACGACAUUCAUUACCAAGUAUGGGUUGUAUGAGUUCACAGUGAUGUCUUUCGGUCUAACCAAUGCACCGGCCUUCUUCAUGAACUUGAUGAACAGUGUAUUCAUGGACUAUCUCGAUAAGUUUGUGGUGGUAUUCAUCGAUGACAUUCUGAUUUAUUCUCAAAGUGAAUAAGAGCAUGCAAGUCAUUUGAGGAUGGUAUUGUAGAGAUUGUGAGAGCACCAGUUGUAUGCAAAAUUGAGCAAGUGCGAGUUCUGGAUCAGUGAAGUCCUGUUCUUGGGUCACAUAAUCAACAAAGAAGGAUUGGCUGUGGAUCCGAAGAAAGUGGCAGACAUUCUGAACUGGAAAGCGCCAACGGAUGCUCGAGGAAUCAAGAGCUUCAUUGGAAUGGCGUAUAUUAUCGGCGAUUCAUUGAAGGGUUUUCGAAGAUUGCAAAACCGAUGACAGCUUUGCUAGGCAACAAAGUUGAGUUCAAGUGGACUCAGAAAUGUCAAUAGGCCUUCGAAGCGCUGAAAGAGAAGUUGACUACAGCGCCUGUCUUAGUAUUGCCUGAUGUGCACAAGCCCUUCUCGGUGUAUUGUGAUGCUUGUUACACUGGUUUGGGAUGUGUGUUGAUGCAAGAGGGAAGAGUUGUGGCUUACUCGUCCCGACAGCUGAAAAUUCAUGAGAAGAAUUACCCAAUUCAUGACCUAGAGUUGGCAUCAGUGGUUCACGCACUGAAGACAUGGAGGCACUAUCUGUAUGGACAGAAAUGCGAUGUCUACACAGACCACAAGAGUUUGAAGUACAUAUUCACUCAGUCAGAGCUGAAUAUGAGGCAACGAAGAUGGUUAGAGCUGAUCAAAGACUAUGAGUUGGAGAUUCAUUACCAUCCAGGCAAAGCGAACGUAGUGGCAGAUGCUUUGAGCAGAAAGAGUCAAGUCAAUCUGAUGGUCGCGCGUCCGAUGCCUUAUGAGUUGGCCAAAGAGUUUGAUAGGUUGAGUCUCGGAUUUCUGAAUAAUUCGCGAGGAGUCACAAUUGAGUUGGAACCUACCUUGGAGCGGGAAAUCAAAGAAGCGCAGAAGAACGAUGAGAAGAUCGGUGAGAUCCGGCGACUGAUUCUAGAUGGCAGAGGCAAAGAUUUUCGAGAAGAUGCAGAAGGGGUAAUUUGGUUCAAAGACCGCUUGUGUGUUCCUAAUGUCCAGUCUAUUCGGGAGUUGAUCCUCAAGGAAGCUCAUGAGACAGCCUAUUCGAUUCACCCUGGCAGUGAGAAGAUGUAUCAAGAUCUGAAGAAGAAAUUCUGGUGGUACGAAAUGAAGAGGGAAAUCGCAGAGCAUGUGGCUAUGUGCGAUAGUUGUCGAAGGAUCAAGGCAGAGCACCAGAGACCAGCCGGAUUGUUGCAACCGUUGCAAAUUCCUCAGUGGAAAUGGGAUGAAAUCGGCAUGGAUUUCAUAGUCGGAUUGCCUCGCACUCGAGCCGACUACGAUUCCAUUUGGGUAGUGGUGGACCGCUUAACCAAGUCAACCCACUUCAUACCCGUCAAGACCAACUACAGCAGUGCAGUGUUGGCAGAAUUGUACAUGUCUCGGAUCGUCUGUCUUCACGGUGUGCCAAAGAAGAUAGUGUCAGACCGAGGAACGCAGUUCACCUCUCAUUUCUGGCAGCAAUUGCAUGAAGCCUUGGGCACACAUCUGAAUUUCAGUUCAGCUUAUCAUCCACAGACAGAUGGUCAGACCGAGAGAACCAAUCAAAUUCUUGAAGACAUGUUGAGAGCCUGUGCGUUGCAAGAUCAGUCCGGAUGGGACAAGCGAUUGCCUUAUGCAGAGUUCUCCUAUAACAACAGUUACCAGGCCAGCUUGAAGAUGUCACCUUUUCAGGCGCUCUAUGGGAGGAGUUGUAGAACUCCGUUGCAAUGGGAUCAGCCUGGAGAAAAGCAAGUGUUCGGGCCAGACAUUCUGCUUGAAGCUGAAGAGAACAUCAAGAUGGUUCGAGAGAAUCUGAAGAUAGCGCAAUCAAGGCAGCGAAGCUAUGCAGACACUAGAAGAAGAGAUCUGAGUUUUGAGGUUGGAGACUUUGUCUAUCUGAAAGUGUCACCGACCAGAGGAGUCAGAAGGUUCGGAGUGAAAGGCAAGCUAGCACCCCGCUACAUCGGUCCAUACCAGAUUGUCGCAAGGCGUGGAGAAGUGGCCUAUCAGCUCAGCCUACCAGAAAAUUUAUCUGCUAUGCAUGAUGUCUUUCAUGUGUCUCAGUUGAAGAAGUGUUUGCGUGUGCCAGAAGAGCAGUUGCCAGUGGAAGGUAUGGAGGUCCAGGAGGACUUGACCUACACAGAAAAAACCAGCGCAAAUCCUUGAGACUGCAGACAGAGUCACCCGAAGGAAGACCAUCAGAAUGUGCAAAGUCAGAUGGAGUCACCACUCUGAGGAAGAAGCAACUUGGGAGCGCGAAGAGGAUCCGAUGGCCAAAUACCCUGAGCUCUUUGCUAGCCAACCCUGAAUCUCGAGGGCAAGAUUCUUUUAAGGGGGAUAGGUUUGUAACGCCCUGAAUUUGGGGGUAGAUUUUUUUCUUCUUUUCUCUCACCAAAUUCGGGCGUUACCCUUUCUUUUCCCCUUUUCUCCUCGCUAAGCCUUGAUCUUUUCCAAAGUUAUGGCGAGAUUCGGCUUGUGAUCUCAUGUAAAGAAAAACCCUAAAAUGCUUUAUUUUGUUUGCUGCACCAUGCCGAACCAUGCAUUUAUUUUGGUUGGUUGAAAUUGUGAAAGCAUUCAUCUAGAAAAUAGACUAAAGAAAAAGGAAAAUCUUUUUCUUCUCUCUCCCCCCCUCUCCUCCCCUUUCGGCCCAACCGCCCCCUCCCCCUCACGCGCGGCCCAGCUAGCCAGCUGGCCCAGCCGGCCUUCCCCCCUCUCCCUUCCUGCCGUGGGCCCCGCGCCAGCCUCCCAGCCCAGCCGCCCCCGCCGGCCCCCCGCUCCCCACGCUGCGCCCACCGCACGCGCGGUUGGAAAAACCACCGCCGCCUCCCCCGCGCGGGCCCCACCCGUCAGCUCCCCCUCCCCAAACCCCUCUCUCUCUCCUCCCCUGCUCGCCCCCGCUCCCCUACCCGACCCGCCCGCGCCCCCGCUCGGCUCGCCGCUGAACCGCUCGCCGCCGGCCUCCCUCCCCCGCGCGGUAAGCCCCUCCCCCUCCUCCCUCUCCUCUCCCCCUCCCUCCCUCUCCCCGGCGCGGUCCCGCCCGUCCCGGAGUCUCGGCGCGGCCCCGCCCCCGGAGCUCGCGGCCAUGGCGCGGCGUCCCGGUGCGACCCCCCCCUCGCGCACGCCCGCGGCGCUCGGCCCCGGCCAUGGCGGCGUCCCGGCGCGGCGCGGCCUCGCCCCGCCUGGCGCGCUCCCCUCCCCGCGCCCCGACGACGCUCGGCCCCCGGCGUGGCUCGGCCUCCCCCGCCCGCGGCACUCGGCCCCGGUCCCUGCGCGGCCUCGCCCGCCCGUGGCAGCCCCAGCCCUGGCCCCCCUUUUCCCCCGCGUCUCGGCCUCCGCCGGCCGGCCAUGGCGCGGCGGCAUGCGGCCUCGGCGUGGCGCCCUCCCUGGCGCGGCCCCCUGCCCGGCGCGGCGUGCUCGCCCGCCCGUCCCCGGCGCGGCCUCGGUGGCGCUCGCGCAGCCCCGGCCCCCGGCGUGGCCUCGGCGUUUCGCGCGGAGCCCCGGCGCGGCCCGUGCACGCACGGUGCCCCAGGCGAGCUCGCCGCACCCGCGGCUCGCGGCCAUGGCGGCUCGGUCCCGCCCGCCUUGGUGUGCCCCGUCCCUGCGCAGCGCGGCCCCGGCCCGGCGUGGCUUCGGCUCGCGUGGCCGUGGUGCCACUGCGUAGCGCGACGCGUGUGCUGCUCGGCCCCGGCGUGUGCGCGACUCGUUCGUGACACGUCAGUGCGGCCUUGCGCGUACGUACCCGCGUGGCGCACGAUGCUUUGGCAUGGCUCGCCGUGCCCUCGGCGCGACGUAUAGCGCUCUGCCGCGUUCGCGACGCGCUUGUCUACCCCCUAGACGAGCCCGUCUACCCCCCGUAUAUUUUAUGCGCGCUAAUCACGUUGUUCAUGUUAAUGAAAUAGGAAACUCAAUUUGGAAAUUGGUUACGUUGGUUAAUUCAUGUAGUUAAUCAUCUAGCUCAUUUAAUGUUGAUCGACUGAAAGUGGUCACGUUUCUAUUAGUGCAUGUAGCUAAUCCUUAUUAUUGGAGCUAAGUAGAGCUAGAACAUGUAACACCUAUUUAUUCUUCUACCCAUAAUGCGUCUCGAGCAUAAGCUCUGACCCCUGCGAGACCUUCCCCUGUCUCUUUCCAUCCAUGGUAAAUGCAAUAUCGCAUGUCAUAUUCUAUGCACGUUUAAUCUACUUGUUCUCUUGUAUGGUGUACUGUUUGUUUCCUAAUUUGAAUGGAUGGAUGUAUGUAUGUUUGCACUCGCAUAGAGAACGAUUCGGUCGAGGAGCCCGAAGAACUCGCAGGAGAAGCCCCUGAGCAGCAGUCGGUUGGUGGAGGCAAGUGUCCCUUGACCCAUAUUUGUCCGAUACAUUCUUUAAUUCACCUCUCGCAUUACACAUUUAUGCCUAAGGAUUGACUAGCUUUGUUAUCCAUGUCCUUGUUUACCUAUUUGGGUUGGAUUAUUAUUGCUUAGUCUUAUGCUAUUGCUCCACUCUAAUUAAUGAACAUGAUGAGAUUAUCUAUGAUACGUUGUCUUCCCUUUUGAUUAUGAUGAUGGUACUUGUGGCCUUUAAGGGGACUCGAGCGGUUUCUCGAGUGCCUCUCCGUAAGGACCUGCUCUUUGGAUGACCGCCCGGGAAAACAGUGCAACCAUGAGGGUGGAAUGGGGUGCCCUUAGCUGAAUAAUUAGAGGAUCCGGGGUGUAGUUCGCUUAGCCGUCGUGCCGUCAAUGGGGCUCGGUGUAUGUGGCUCGCUCUGCCAAGUUUGGGUUCGCCCCUUGGGGAGGAGUGCGGUGCAUUUAGGAAACCUAACGGGCGGCUACAGCCCCGGGGAAUCUUUGUAAAGGCUACAUAGUGAUGCCCUGCUGGGUCACCUUGGUAGUGACCAAUGGAGAGUCAUGAUCUCCGGGCAGAAAGGGAAUCACUGCUUGUGGGUAAAGUGCACAACCUCUGCAGAGUGUAUGAAAACUGAUAUAUCAGCCGUGCUCGCGGUUAUGAGCGGCCAAGGGAGCUCCAGUGAUUAGUGGUACUUGAUCAGAGAUGUUCGGAUUUGCAGAUGGCAAUGAGAUGGAUGGAUUCUUGGUAUUGACUCUGGUAAUGGUAAGUGGUACUCUUUCCGUUUGGAAAGGAGUACGUUUGGGUUGAUAACGUGGGUUAAUUCUAAAACUUGGCUUUCUCUACUAGUAAUAAUAAUCUGACCUACUAAAAGCAACUGCUUGACUUAUCCCCCACAUAAAGCUAGUCCACUACAACCAGACAGGACACUUGCUGAGUAUGUUGAUGUGUACUCACCCUUGCUCUACACACCAACCCCCCAUCCCCAGGUUGUCAGCAUUGCAACCACUGCUCAGGAGAAGAUGAAGUCGUGGAAGGAGACUUCCAGGAGUUCCAAGACUACGACGAGUUCUAGGCGUGGGUUAGCGGCAACCCCCAGUCGGCUGCCUAUGAAGGCCGCGUUUAUCUACGUUUCUUUUCCGCACUUUGAUUUAUUGUAAAGACUAUGUGGAUGUCUCAGACAUAUGAUGUAAUCGACUAUUAUUCCCCUUUUUCAAUACUAUUUGAGCACUGUGUGAUGAUGUCCAUGUUAUGUAACUGCUGUGUACGUGAAUUGCUGAUCCUGGCACGUACAUGGUUCGCAUUCGGUUUGCCUUCUAAAACCGGGUGUGACAAUCAAUCACCACAUGGUCGAAACUCAAAGAUCAACUGCUCACAAGCUUUCAACGGUUUUAUACCAAGAAAAUUAAAGAUCAGGCUCUAUUUCAAUGCCCCUAAGAACUAGAAGAAUAUCUUCAAAGCUAUAUCUGAAGGUUCCUUCGAAUCAUAGCAUAAGCAUCAAGUGUACCAGAUGACAUUGUCAUUGAGGCUAUGAUCAAGGGGCUUCGGCUAGGAACAUGCUCUUGGUAUUUUGCUAGGAAGCCACCCCACACUUUGGAGGAUCUACUCUACAAAAUGAAUGAAUAUAUCAGAGUAGACAAUGAUUGUCAACAGCGCCGACAUUAUUUAUUUUACAUUUUAAAGCAUGAUUAACCUUAUGUGAUCUAAUGGCCCCAUCGUACAUUGGGCUAGCCCAUGACCCAAAUAUGUUGUCGUAUAGGAUGCUUAGGCUAGCAUGAUGGCCCAUGCAUUGGCUUUGCACGACCUAUUGACAUGGGUGGGCCUAAACGUGUUGUGCCACAGUUGGGCUAAUGGUGGCCCGGUCUGACUAUUUGGACAUGCAUAUUGUAGGAGUCCAAAAAUAAGCAUGGCCAUGGUACUUAUCUCAAUCUAGUUUUCUUAAAGUUAAUUAGAAUUGUAAGAAAUAUUAACAACAUUUGUGUCUCUAAAUAAGACUGUUAUAAAAAUAGAUUAAACUAUCUAUCUAAGGAUGCUAAUUAUAUACUAUAGAUAUUAAGAUUUCUUAUAUAUAUUUGAUCAAAGUUAAACAUGUUUGACUCAUCUAUAAGAAAAAACAACACUUGACUUUUAUGGAUGGAGUAGUAACUAAGGCCUAUGGGCUCAGACACAUGAUUCCACUGCUUGGCAAAUAUUCCCUAUGAGUUGGUCCCAAGGAUGAUUAGGAAUGUUAGAAUGGGCUAGGUUGAUCUCCAUUUUGAUAGUGUUUGGAUGGAGGUGACUUGUUUCAAGGGGAAUAUACCCCUUAGAUUUGUAGUAGCUUCAUCCAUAAAAUUUAGGGGAUGAACUCAUCCCAAAUCCAUGUUGUGAUGCUUCAUCGACUAAGCAUGGGUCCUCGGCUUCACACGCUAGUGCGACACGGGGCUUAGGGCGGCUGUAGAGACAUGGAUCUUCAAGCUCUUUGCAACACAUGGGCGGCCAACCUUGUGGCGGAUGGGAAGUGCUAGUCUCUAGGUAGCGUAGGGUUGGCCGUCUAUGGUGCUUAAGACUGUCUUCAACGGCCCACUCUAAAUUCCACACCUAUAUCCUAUAUCUCACUUUCAUGACACGUCAGCAAUCUCUCUUGCCCUAUAUCUCAUCUUCGUGCAGCGGUUGCCUCUAUAUCACCCUCUAAAAUCCUUCAUAUCAAUAAAGUAUACAUUUCUUUUUAACUACCACAACUACCAAUCAUAUUUUUCCAUUUUUCCUUUCUCACACUGGUAUUUACUCUACCAUAAGUAAAACUGUUGUAAAUCGAAUUUAAUGAUUACUAUACUUUUUCACGCAUCUUUCAUGGUGAUGUGCAGCAUGACCGCGGCGUGAAGCUGGUUGUUGUUUCGCCGGCAUCAGAGCGUGUCCCGCGCGUGGGGCUCACCCACAUGUAUCGUCGUCCUGCUCCGGCGACGAAGAAGCUCCGGCUGGGGAAUGCUCUCGCGGAUCUAGCAAAUGGAACGACACCGAAGAAGCUUCGACCUGAGAGGAUGUCUCCAACAAUGGUGGUGGCUUCGGCAGAUCCGGUAAGACAGUUGCCUCGUGGACGUCAUCGCGCUCCGGGACGGAGGCCGCGGCUUCGGUUCGACCGACGAACCAUCGUCAAUGUCCUCCUCUAGCAGCUUCUCCUCUGGCCUUGCUCUUUUCAGUCGACGGUCCGUACGAGGGAGAGCUCGAGUGGGUGCAACGGGUGGCGACGUGUAGGCAGGGGCGAAGCCAGGAUUCGAAGACAGAGGGGGCAGACUUAGCCUCCAAGCGACCAAACCAGUAAAGACACAGUAUAAAAAUGGCAAGGGAACCAACCACAAUGUAUAUAUUGAUAUAUAAUCUUCAUUAAAAACAGUAUAAUGAAACAACAUCUAUUUUGUCAAACAAAAUAAAAUUACAUCUCAGUUAUUUUAAAUUUAGCUCUACGUGUAUUAGCUAGAUCAUAGGCCUUGAUAAUAUCAUCAGAACAAAUCAUUGCCACUAAUUCCCUUUUAAUAUAAACGAUCAGAUAAUCACGUAAAUAGGCAUAUCUCAUUUUUCUUCGAAGACGUGUCUUCACAAAUUUCAUAGCUGAAAAGGCUCUCUCUUUGGUCGCAGUUGACACAAGGAGAGUUAAAAGUAAUCUCAAUAAUUUAUCGGAUAAGAAGAAUCUUUACCCAGCUUAGCUAAUCCACUUGGUUGGGCCAAAAAUUAAGGGUUUCAGACUACCAAAUAAUAAACUGACAACAAGAUAAUGGGCUAUAGGAUACAUUAUUAAUCUGACUUGGUUGAGCCAUUGGGGGUGCCAAGCCCACUCCGGCCCCCCUGGUGGCUUCGCCACUGCGUGUAGGGGCACUCUACAUAUAGUGGGAGAGAGAAGAAUCCCACCGGGUAGAGGUAGGCGAAGGGGCGAGCGUUGUAGCGUUUGGAGUGAUUCUGUAGCCACUAUACAUGCACAAUAUUAUGGGAGGGAGACGCCAACAACAACUAUUGAAGAGAGUCUAAGGUGCGUGAGUGGGCAGUAGUGGUGCAUGGUGCAUAUAGGAUCUUGCCAAUGAAUAGAGUCAAAUAAAAGGUUGAAAUCAUCACAUGAGAAGCUAAACAGCCUUUUGCCCUGAUUAGUGGCAAACGUAGGCCAAUAACAUAGGAAGGACUCACUCACCUCUUUCCUAUUCCUCUUUUUAUUUUUCUUUAUCCUUCCUUUGUUCUUCUUUUUACUUCACCUUUGUCCAACUUAUUCCAAAACUUAUAGACACUGCGCUAACAAUUAUGGUAAGAUCCUAACAGAUAAGGCAAGAUCUUAGCAGAUAAGAUAAGAUCCUAGCAGAUAAGAAAGACACACUUGUAAUCAUAGAGUGGGUUCCAUGUACAACUAGGUUAUCGACUCGGUACCAUCAUGGACCAGAUAACCAACUCGAUAUCCACCAUGUAACCGCCUCCUCCUUGCUCUACAAAAGGAGGGCAGGGGCGCCCCUAUGGGCAUUAGAUCAUCAUAUCAUAAGCAAUAGCCACCAACACACUGGACAUAGGGUAUUAUCUCGCCUUGAUAGCCCAAACCUGUCAAAAUCUUCGAGUCUUCUAUGCAUUUACCUUUAGUUUUCGAUCUCGUGAUCUACCCCAUAAAUCCACUAUCUAAUAUUCCUUAACAAUUAAUAACACAAUUCGCAUGUGUAGUACUACAUAAAAUUAAUCUCUUGUAUUUAAAGCUCCCCCUGCAUUGACGCUCCCUCCGCGCUCGAUAGGCAUUUGGCCUUCGCUCCUGUCGAGGCAUGGAGAAUGGGGUAGACACAAAACUAGCCACUCUUUCUAGCAUUAGAAUUGUUCUUGUAAAACUUAGUGAUUGAUAUUGAAAAGAUAAGAUUGUCACCACAUGUAGGUUAACACAAUAAAAAGGGACCAUUUGGAUAUUUUUCAUUUGAGAGGAAUUAAAAUAUAUUUAAUGCACUCGAUUAUUUGACUCAAAAUAUGAUAUUCCAUAAACCUUCGACUAGCUCUCCUAGAAUAGAAAUGCAUCACAUAAAUGGUUUAAUAAUUUAUGACUAGAUUAUAGUUAUAGAAAAAUAAUCCCAAGGAUUCAAACUUAAAUGAUAUUGUCAAAAUUUUAAAAUAACUAGUACAACUGAGUCAUUCGGGCAAGCAACCAACACACGACCAUGCAAACUCAGGAAACUGGGUCUAUCAAAGGCUAAUUUUGCUCUCACUCACUCAAUUGAAACACAAGGUUCCCACAAACAUUGCAUUGGGACCUUGCCCGGCUGCUACAAUCACGCUAGGCCGCAUGCGCCAUGGAUGGUCCAAAGGUUCCCUGUCUUUAAUAACUCGCCUUUGCCAUCAUAUAUAAACCUGGCCUUGACACCCCUGUCCCCACCACACCACAACAAGCACAGAGACACCAAGCGUUGAACUCGCCUAAGCAGCUACCAACCAACCCUAGAAAGCUAGACACCGUACCCAUGGCUCGCGCUAGCGUCGUCUUUGUCAUUGCUGCUCUCCUCUUCGUCGCCAUGGUCGUAGCACCGAUGGCCGAGGCAAAGUCUGCCGAUGCCCCUGUGGCUGACGCGCCGGCCGAUGGACCUAGCGGGCCGGCUGCUGCACCUGGCCCCCAGGGUGUCGAAGGCCUGUCAGGCAAUGAGGAUGACGAUGAUGACUCCACCAACUGAGGCCACACAUGUCGGCCCGGUUAAAUUUGGAACAAGACAUGGAAGAAAAAUGAGAGCAAUGUCUUUAAAACCAUGAAUCCAUAAUAAUGUGUGGUCAUCCAUGGAUACAUCCUUGCUCUCCCUCUUUUUCUUUCUGUUUGAUUUUCAAUGUGUUAUCAUGUUGUUAGUUAACUGUAUCGACUCAUGGUAUCAAGGUCUAAAAAAUUAUCGUCGUUCUUGUGUUCUUGAGCCACUGAGAUUUUGAGACAGUGAACGAUUCAUCAAUCACAACGUUGGUUUUAGUCUUCCCUGCAUCUCGUGCUGCACAAAAAAACGUCUUCUUGGCCCUUUGUUCACAAUUAUUCGAAUUCCAUUUAUAUUUUGGGGAGGGGGAGGGGGGCAUUAUCUAAGCUCUAGACCCUUUUCUGAAGCUCUAACACACAGCUUGCAAGGCCAAAAUACCAUGAACGUACUACCUAAAAAUUGCCGGUAUUUAACGUCCAUGUAAUAUCAUUUUUGUAAUAGCAUACACAAUGUUCUUAGCCAUUAUAUGCUUUAACUGACCUUACAGUGGGUAAGCCGUGACUUGAUAUAACUAACCAUAAGCAAAGUGUGAGAAGCCAUGAUUUACCAAACUUUAGCGUGCCUAAUAAAUAUUUACCGUAUUUUUAUUUUAUUUUAUAUGACACAUGGAGUGCAUCAUAAUCUACCUACCCAAAAGGCACAAGUAUGUGUGCAUCAAGCUGUUUCAAAGAAAAUAUGCUAGAUUAUCACUAAAAUAUGUGCUGUCAUUAAAAUGCGCCAAGCCAUCAUCAUAUAAGCGUUGACUUUCCAUAGAGUCUAAUACAGAAGACAAUUUUCUUUUGUUUUGCAGUCAUGUAAUAGGAAACCAUAUGAUAUUUUUUUAUAUGUUAGAGCUCUUAAAAAGGGGUUUCUCUACAUAAAUGUAAUUAACAUAAUUUUUAUAUAAACAUAAGAAUUAUAAAAGUAUGGACUCACAACACAUAUACUUUAUUUAUUUGUACCAUUUAAAUUAAACAAAAUUAAACUUGUCUGUCACGCGGAGGCAAGGCCGUUUGGCCAACCGAAUCGGUGUUUGUUAGGCUAUCUCUAGCAACUUUUAUGUCUCAUCUCUUAUCGUAUUGUAUAUUUUAAACUUCACUCUUCAAACAAUGUCAAACAAUAUUAUCUAUAGUAUCGUAUCCUUAGAUCAUAUUUCGCAAGUUUGUGUGGCUAUGUAUUGGCUGCUUGCCCGAAUGACACAGUUGUAGUGAUAGCAAAAUUCUUUUAGGCCACAUGUCGUAGAGUAAAAAGUAUAGCAAUAUUCUUUUAGUUAUGAUAGAGUGUGACUUCUAAGGCUAUGUUUGGUUUCUUUAGUCUAGGGACUAAAAUUUAGUUAGAGGACUAAACUUUAGUCCCUAACAUGUUUGGUUUUAUGGGAUAAAAAUAGUAAGAAUAUACUAUAUGACUCAUAAGAAGACUAAAAUGGCCUUUAACAUUCUCUUGCUAUUAGUACAAUUGAACUAAAUGAGGGGUAAAUGUGGAAUUAAUAUGGUUUAGUCUCUUUUAGCACAUAUGUGAAGGAUUAAAUAAAGACUAAAUCAUUUUAGUCCAUAUUUUAGUCCUAAUGUUUGGCAAAAAAAGACUAAAUAAGACUAAAAACUAGAGACUAAUCUUUAGUUCCUCUAACCAAACCCCCCUAAAUUAAGGAUAUAUUUCGUUGCUAGCCACACUUUAUCACACUUUACCUUAGCCAGUGUUGACUAAUUUAGAAGUUUGUUUGACGAUUAAAGUUGGGCAAGAAUUUUUAGGCUGAUGCAUGACUUUAUGUAGACAAAUUCAAUUCAUGUUUACCGUUAGUGCAACGACUGUAUAUUCAUAUAAUAUAUUUUGGUAUAGAUUGGGCAUUCCAGGCCUCAUAAAUUUAUUUGACAUGCAUAUUCGUAUAUUUAUUUAACGUAGACAAUGCAAUUUCGAUGAUAUGCACAGCCGCUGUUUGUAUUAAUCGUAGGGAACAUUUAAGAAACAUGCCUCACAUUCAUUACUCGUAUCCACUAACAAGACCAUAUACCGGUUGAUUGGUUCUGUAUCAGGUGAGCAUGGCACGUGAGAAACGCAGUUUUUCGGCGUAUCUAUUCAUGCAACAAGGAUAUUUGUUUUUGGCCUACGUUGCAUCUGUGACUGUGAGUGCAGUCUCAAUCUCUCUCUAUGCGGUUAACCAAACAACGACUGCUCCUUAGUCAACGCACACGCUCAACCCGUAUAGAUAUGCACAUGUUACCAAUCAUGAGGAUAGUAAUAGAACACGUUGCAUACAAGUAAAUGAGUUGCGCUUAGGCUAUCCGCAACCGGUACCCCUAAAUUUUUCCCCCUAUAUCACCUUUUCCCCCUAUUUUUUCAUCUCCCGCAGUGGUUCUCCCUAAAUACUCUCCCUAUACCCCACUACAACUAUAAAAUAUCAUUUUCUAUAUCAACUAACAAUUUUUUAUUUACUAACAAUUACUCGUGGAUCCACAGCACAGUGUUUAGGGGAUUAACAGUGACACGCUAGAUCUAGGAGGAGAGAGAAGGAGGCCAGCGUGUAGGAGGCGUUGUAGGGGGCACCGCUGCGGCCGUAGAGUGCCCCCUACAGGCCACAUGCAAGAGAAGGGGGCUGCGUAGUGGCUGCCGUUGCAGUUAGUCUUAUACGACUUGUACCGUGAUGACCAAGCCCAACGCCAGCAAGGCCGAAUUCGUGCGCGUCGUGGGCUCGUGGCCAUGUUGCAUGCGGGCUAUGUGUUCUGUUAUUUGCAUUUUCCUUUUCAUUUUUUUAUGAGAUUUUAUUUUCCUUCUUUCUUUUUUUCCUUUUUAUUUUCGGACUAUUUCUGUUUGUUCAUUAGUUGGUCGUUGCACCAUCCGUUUCCUAUGCUGUAUUUCUAGGUAAGGAUACAUAAAAAAUAUACCUGUAUCAGUAUCAUGCAACUAUUUGGAUAAUAAUCAGUUGCAUGGAUGACGGACUUUUUUUUUUGCCUAUUACCAGGUUAAGAAUAACAAAUUUAUGACGUCAUGUAUUUCCGUAUUUGUAUGCAUAAUUUAAUAUUCCAUUCGUCCUAAAAUAUAAUUCGUUUCAGAUUAAGCCUAUCUUUAUUCAGUAAGGCAGUAACCUAUAAAUAUAAUUUGUAUGUAUAUAUAUAUUUAUUAUCAUCUAUAUGAAUGUGGAUGGAAAAAAUGAGAGCUAUAAAAAGCUAUAUUUUAGGACCGAAAGAGUACAUCUUUUAUUUAAUGUUUCUCUUUGAGCUUUCCUGGAACCCACUCUUUGGAAAUUAUGGUGUAUACGACUAAGCUUAUUCGAUUUGGUUAAAUCUAUAUCGAUAUUUGUAGUAUUUUGGAUCUUUUAGCCAUGGCGCCGUUGCAGGUUAUCAUGGCGUGGAAUUUGACAUUAAGAAACUAUUUUUGAUUUAGUUUAUUAUAAAGUUAGUCAGAGAUACCUUUAGAUUAUGCAAACUGACUUGAUGCUUCAGAAUAGAUGAUCUGUUUAUUUUUAUUUGGAGUAUGUAGUUGGACUCUGUUACAUGUGCCCAAACAUAUAAUUAUUUUUUAUGAGCUUAAUUUAAUUGGUUUUAACUUUGCUAGCAUGACUGAAUAUACGCACCGCUUCUCUUUUGGGGCACAAUUUCAUUUGAUCAUACAAUUAUUUGUUUAAUUUGAUAGUAGCCAAGACAUAUGUAUCUUUCUUUUUUUUAGCAUGCAAGACGGUGUGCCCCCAUUUUCAAAAGGAAUUUGAAGAGCCUGAACUGCCUGGCUUAAAGCAUCUCCAACCAUAAGUUCUAAACAAGAGUCCUAAAACUUGAAAAAGAACCCGGUUUAAAAUGUUUAAGGCUCAAUUAACUUUUUUAACUCCAACGGUGGACCCUAUAAUAAAGUGUUUUUUUGGUUUUUAUCCUUACCUGUCAAAGUAUUGGAGUCAUUUUUUCUGUUUUAACUCCAAAAGCAGUUUCAUCGGUUGGAAUAGAGGGAAAUAAAAAGAUAGAGCCCGAAUUGAUGGGUACUAUAUAUGGCAGCCACUAUAUAUAGGACCCCAACCAGGCAACCAUCGAGUCCUUAAUCUAGUUGAUAAAAAAUUAGUAAAUUAGGACUCCUAUUGGAGACAAUUUUUAUAACUUGAGCCCAAUAUUUAAAUUUAGGACUCAGUUUGAGACUUCUGUUGGAGAUGCUCCGGCUAAAACAUAUGCAGAUUUGUUUCGAUAUAAAACCAAUUUGUGUUCAUAUCUAUUUUACCAUGAACACCCAAAUUUCACUUAGGCACAUUUCUCCUUUUUACAAUUUUACGGUGGCUCAUGAUAAUUGAAGUUGUUUAGCCACCACGAUGUAUAUUUUGAUUAGGCCAAAUCUUAUUUUGAUUAGGCCAAAUCUGUGUCAACGACCCUCACUCCCUCGGUUGAAACCCAAGUCUCGCACACUUUGCAUUGGGGCUUUGUCUGACUGCUACAAUCACGCUAGGCCGCAUACGCCAUGGACGGCCAAAGGUUCCCUACCUAUAAUAGCCCGCCUCCACCACCAUAUAAACUUGGCCUCACCACCCUCGUCCCUCACCGCACCACAACAAGCAUAGAGACACCAAGCGUCAAACUUGCCAAGCAGCUAGCAACCAACCCAAGAAAGCUAGACACCAUACCCAUGGCUCGCGCUAGCGUCGUCUUCGUCAUUGCUACUCUCCUCUUCGUCGCCAUGGUUGUGGCACCGAUGGCCGAGGCAAAGUCCGCUGAUGCCCCCUCCGCCGACGCCCCCGCCCCCGCUGCUGACGCACCUGCCGAUGGACCUAGCGGACCGGCGGGUGCACCUGGUCCCCAGGGCGUCGAGGGUCUAUCGGGCAAUGAGGACGACGAUGAUGACUCCACCAACUAAGGCCAAGCACGUCGGUCCGGUUGCAUUUGGAACAAGACAUGGAAGAAAAGUGAGAGCAAUGUCGUUUAAAACCAAA
rnacentral:lncRNA from 1 species